UUCGAUAGAAGGGACAUCCUUCUUGGCCUUGGAGGAGGUCUCUACGGUGCAACCAGCCUUGUUAGAGACCCAUUCGCAUUGGCAGUCGUCCCAAUCGAGCCUGACCUGUCCAGCUGUGGGGAAUCAACCGUAGAUACCGGUAAAACCUGCAUGAAUGUCCCUUGCUGCCCACCAAAGUUAAAAGAUUCAAAGAUCAUAGACUUCGAACCACCUUUAGGUUGCAAGAUCCGUUAUCGGCCGGCAGCACAUUUAGUUGAUCGUGAUUACCUGUAUAAAUUUGAAUCGGCAAUGGAGAGAAUGAAAGCUCUCCCUGUGGAUGAUCCACGUAAUUUCAUGCAACAAGCCAAUAUUCAUUGUGCCUAUUGCAAUGGGGCUUAUAGUCAAGUGGGGUUCCCCGAUCAAAAACUUGAAGUUCACUACUCGUGGCUUUUUUUCCCAUUCCAUAGGAUGUAUCUGUAUUUCUUCGAGAGGAUAUUGGGCAAGUUGAUUGGUGAUCCAGAUUUCGCAAUGCCAUUUUGGAACUGGGAUUCUCCCUGUGGGAUGACUAUGCCUCAGAUAUAUUUAGACCCUUACUCUCCAUUGUACGAUGAAAACCGCAAUUUGGAGCAUCAGCCUGACGUUUUGGUUAAUCUUAAUGACGGUAAAUCUUUUGUAAAACCAAAAAAAAAAGAUGAUUUUUAUGAAUUAACAAAGAGGGAACAAAUAAAGAGUAAUCUCUAUGUGAUGUAUCAGCAAAUGGUACGGUCCAGCAAGACCGCUUCUUGUUUCCAUGGAGCGGCGUACCUUGGCGGUUGUGCAUCCGAAACCGAUAUCGGUUGUACUCCCGAACCGAGAGGUGGUACCAUUGAGAACGGUGCUCACAUCGCCGUUCACAAGUUCGUUGGUGCCAAGAAUCCACCUUAUAACGAAGACAUGGGGAAUUUCUAUUCUGCUGGUAGAGACCCUUUGUUCUACGCUCAUCAUGGCAAUGUUGAUCGAAUGUGGAACAUUUGGAAGACAUUGCCAGGGAAGAAGCGACGUGAUUUCGACGAAAAUGUUUGGCUCAAUUCUUCGUUUCUUUUCUACGAUGAGAAUGCAAAUAUGGUUCGUGUUAAAGUUCGCGAUUGCCUUGACUCUAAAACUUUGGGGUACGAUUACCAAAGUGUUGAUAUUCCGUGGCUUAGAAGCAAGCCAACAUCUCGAAGGAGUCGUCUUGGUGUGGGGCGGGGUCAGGAUCAGGGUCAGGAUGUAGCAGCCAGACGAAAGAGUAAAAACCGCAGGAGCUUUCCUAUAGUUUUAGACAAGGUGGCCGUGCGCAUUGAGAUUCCAAGGCCAAAGAAACCAAAGAAAAAAGAUGAUGAAGAAGUAUUGGUUCUUCAAAACAUACAGCUAGACAGAAAUGACUCAGUGCAAUUCGAUGUCUCCAUUAAUGACGAUGAAGACGACGACAACCCUUGCAAACCGGAAGAUGCGGAGUUCGUGGGGAGCUUUUCGAAUUUACCGCACGGAGAUAAUUGCCACUCCGAGGCGAUGCUUAGUACAAAUCUGUAUUUGCCAUUAUCAGAAGCGCUGGAGGAUUUGAAGAUUAAUCCAUUUGAAGAUAGCAUUGUGGUGACUUUGGUGCCUAAAGAAGGGGAAGUUUCGAUUGGUAACAUUAAGAUCGACUACGUUUGUUGAUUUGGGGGUGAAUAUUUUGCUUCAUCCUUUGUGUUCUCGCUAGAUCGGAUUGAUGGGGUUCAUUAAUUUGUUUCUUGCAUGUGUCUCUCUUUUUUUUUAAUAAAAAUAUCAAGCUAAAUGAACAAAAGCAGCGGCAGCUUUAUCUUGCUCAAGAAGAUAAUCAACUCCUAAACGCGCCUGAUAUUUUCUGCCUAUCAUCAAUUCAAUCACGAGAUAUUUUAGUUAACAGAGUAACAACUUGAUUUCUUUAACUAUCCAAUACUUCUUGCACUGUAACAUCUAUUUAAUUCGUCCAACCAAAACUAAAUUUGAUACCUCCAAAUAGCCAUCUUGAAUAGCAUUGAAUGCUUCCAAGUAAUCUGUUUAAAUUAAGGCUUUGACAUAUCUUAUAAGAUUAACUCGUCUGAGAUACUCUAGAAUUCAAUAUUAAAGAUUGAACAAACAUCUAAAUUAUGAUUGAACCCGACAAUCCAAUCUUGCCAAAUUUUAUUAUUAAAUUUUACCAUUUACUUUUUGUAUUAUUUAUAAAUUUUAAGUAUAAUGGUUUAUUUGAUCUUUCAGCUUUAUAAAAAAAAUAUCAUUUUAGUUCUUCAUUUAAUUUUGUCUCUUUUUAACCCUUAAAUUUAUGUUGUUUAUCAAAUUGUCCCAAAAUAAAUGAAAAAAUUAAUAUCUAUUAACUUUGUUGACACAUCCACGUGUAUGCCACAUCAACAUUUACUUAAUUCUUUUUACAAAAUUAAAAAGCAUUAAAAUUAUAAAAAAAUAUUAUAAAAUUAUAAGUUUUAUUUAAUAAUAAAAUUAUAAUAAAAUUCUAUAAAUUUUAGAAUUUUUAAAAAUUUUAAUCAAUUAUUGAUGUGACAUACAUGUGGAAUGUCACAUAAACAAAAUUAUUAAGCGUUAAUUUUUCUAUUCAUUAUAAAGUGUUUUGACAAAAAAAACUAGUUUAAUAGUUAAAAGUGGCGAAGAUUAUAUGAAGGGUUAAAAUGACUUUUUUGUUUUCUAAAGUUGGAGGACUAAAUAAAUCAUUAUGCUUAAAUUUUAUCAUAUUUAUAAAUAAAAAUUUUAAUUUUACUAAAAUAUUUUAUUAAAUAUAUUUACUUUAUAAAAAAAUUGUCAUACAUUUAUAAGAAUUUCGAGUCAAUUAAAAUACUUUAAUUAAAUUAUUAUGUUUUCAUUAACCCAAAAAAGUUAUAUUACUUAUUUUUAAAUGAAUUUUUUUAAUUAUUUAUAUGAUAGGUAGCUUUAUAUUUUACAUGCAAUAUUUUAUAAAGAAUACAUUUAUAUAAUCUAAUCUAAUAUAUUAUAAUUAUAUGAAGGCUUGAUUCGUAAAUUGGUAUCUAAGUUAUGUUAUUUUUUUCCAUCUUGGUAUCUAAACUUUUUUUUUUAUCAGUUAUCCUUAAGCUAUUUUUUCCCCAAAUUAGUAUAUCUGUUAGUUAACCCAUUAAAUCUAUUUUUAAAAAAAAAGUUCAACCCACAAAUUAGUACCUAAGCAGUACUCUUUUUCCCAAAUUGGUACCUAAUUUUUUUUUUAUCAUAAGUGAUACCUAAACUAUUCUUCCAUCACCAUUUUACACCAAAAUGUUAUAUUCGUUAAAAAAAUUACAACCAAUUAUAGAUUGUCACUUCAUAUAAACUUUUAAUUGUUUUAACUUUUUUUAUUUAUUUUACAUUAUUUCUCUCUUUAUAUAUUUUAUUUAUUUAUUUUUCUUCUUUUAUAAUGCCUAGUAAUACCAACAAUACUUAAAAUUGAUUCGCUCGAGGUUGAGAUGCCGGUAAUUAAUUGUGUUUUGAAAUUUCACCAUGUUGAUUAUGUGAAUUAUAUUUAAUUUGAGUUGGAAUCACAAUAAAUAAUUAUAUAUAUUUAUGCAAGAAAUUAAGAAUUUUAUAUAGUUCAUGAAUAAUAUAUAAUUCAUAUAAGGCUUAAUCCAACAUUCACCCUUGGGCAUUUCCAGCAUACUUCAACAUCUACACCGUAUGAUCAGUUGGCAGCCCAAUCACUAACUUCUGUCGACGAACAGCCUUACACUCCGCUGCAAACAAUCCCAUCCACUCCAAGCUAGGGGCCAUAAAUCAACCCCAACAAUCGCCCCACACCAUCCUUGAACACUAUUGGAACCCACCAUUGUUUGAAAAGUCAAAUGGGGUGGGCACCAAAAGUAGAAAGUAAUAUUGGUUGGCAAGUUGGGUUAAAAUUUGGCAUGGGAUAAUUGCAAUUUUGGUCCCUAAUUGUAUAGGGACAUUGCAAGUUGAUCCUUGAACCUCAACUAUAAAUAGGCCUAACCAUUGCUUACUUUCUUCAUCCCAUAAUUGCCAUUCUCUACUUAAGGCAUUAUUCUCUCUCUCUAUUUGUAAAUUUCACUUGUAAUUUUUGGAGUGAAAUAUAUUUGGUAGUGCCCGAGGACGUAGGUAAAAUUUGCUGAACCUCGUUAAAAUUCUGGUGUUCUUUAUUAUUUGUUUUGCAUAUUUUGUGAAUGUGAUUGUAGUGAUUUAUUGUGCUAUUAAAUUACGAUAGAGGGAUAUUCUGGCUAGGAAAGACUUGGUAUUUAAGUGAUCUUCGUGAUCUACCUCUCUUUCCUGGGAAUUGAACUUAGUGUGAUUUUUCAGUACAAUAAUUUUACUCUUUCACACGCUUCCGCGCAACAAUUGGUACCAGAGCCAGGUUCGUACUUGGGGAAUACGACCGUUUACGGUACUAUUCACGUAUACAGCACUAUUUACGUAUACGGUACUAUUCACGUAUACAGUACUAUUCACAUAUACGAUACUGUUCACGUAUACAGUAGUUGGGAUUGAGGAGAAAAAUGGCAGCAGCAUCGUCAUCAGCAAGGACUACUGUGACAAAUGCAAAAUUUGAAGUAGAGAAAUUUGACGGUACCAAUAAUUUUGGUAUGUGGCAAUGUGAGAUCCUGGAUGUCUUAUGUCAGCAAGAGCUAGAUAUAGCCCUUGAAGAAAAACCUGACAAGAUGGAUGACAAGGAGUGGGCCAAGAUCAAUAGACAGGCGUGUGGUACAAUCCGCCUAUGUUUGGCCAAAGAGCAGAAAUACUCUGUCAUGAGGGAGACAUCAGCGAAGAAGUUAUGGGAUACACUGGAAGAAAAGUUUCUAACGAAAAGUCUUGAAAAUAGGCUUUAUAUGAAAAAGAAACUUUAUCGAUUCACGUAUGCACCCGGUAUGUCGAUGAAUGACCAUGUGAACUCAUUCAAUAAAAUUUUAGCAGACUUGCUAAAUUUGGAUGAGAAAUUUGAAGAUGAAGACAAGGCAUUAUUGUUGUUGAAUUCCCUUCCUGAUGAAUAUGAUCAUCUUACCACCACAUUGCUUCAUGGGAAGGACACGAUCACAUUUGAUGCAGUCUGUAGUGCGUUGUAUAGAUCUGAGACUCGAAAGAAAGAUAAAAGAGAUCACAGAGAUACAACCGCAGAAGUCUUAACAGUAAGAGGUCGUUCACACAGCAGCAAAUCUGGUAGAAGGGGAAAGUCCAAAGGGAGACCCGCCAAAGAUGAAUGUGCCUUUUGCCUUGAAAAAGGGCAUUGGAAAAAGAAUUGUCCUAAGCUACAAAAGGGCAAGGCUAUUUCUAAUGCAUGUGUAGCGGAGCAUGAUGAGGAGUCAGACUUUAGCUUGGUUGGCAUGGCAAUGGCAUGUCAAACGGAUGAGUGGAUUUUGGAUUCAGGAUGUACUUACCAUAUGUGUCCUAAUAAGGACUGGUUUUCUAGUCUUAAAGAGCUAGAAUGUGGAAUUGUUCUUAUGGGCAAUGAUAGUGCUUGUAAGACAAUGGGAGUGGGUACAGUCCAAUUGAAGAAUCACGACGGCUCAAUCCAAGUCUUGACAGAUGUUCGCUACGUACCUAGCCUGAAGAAAAAUCUCAUCUCAUUAGGUGCCCUAGAAUCUAAAGGGCUCACAAUCACUUUGAGAGAUGGAUUACUAAAAGUAGUAGUUGGGAAACUGACGGUGAUGAAAGGCAUAAGAAGAAAUAACUUGUAUUUUUUAAAUAGAAGUACAGUUAUUGGAUCAACAUCAACAGUUUCUACAAAAGAUGUAGAUUCAGAGGCUACCAGAUUAUGGCAUAUGCGAUUGGGACAUGCUGGUGAAAAAGCUUUGCAGACAUUGGCGAAGCAAGGCUUAUUGAAAGGUGCAAAUUCUUGCAAAAUGGAAUUCUGUGAACAUUGUGUUCUGGGCAAGCAGAAGAGGGUAAAAUUUGGUCCAGUAAUUCACAAUACGAAAGGAAUUCUGGACUACGUUCACAGUGAUGUGUGGGGACCUACCAAAGUAGCUUCUUUGGGAGGUAUGCACUAUUUUGUUACUUUUGUUGAUGAUUAUUCAAGAAAAGUAUGGGUGUAUCUAAUGAAAAGAAAAAGUGAAGUUUUGGAUGCAUUUCUGAAAUGGAAAAAGAUGGUGGAGACUCAGACUGGUCGAAAGGUCAAACGACUUCGAUCAGAUAAUGGUACUGAGUACAAAACGAUCCAUUUCUACAAGUAUGCCAAGAUGAGGGCAUUGUGCGACACUUCACUGUUCGGGAUACACCACAGCAAAAUGGGGUGGCAGAACGAAUAAAUCAAACUAUACUGGAGAAAGUUCGAUGUAUGUUGUCCAAUGCUGGAUUGGGCAAAGAAUUUUGGGCUGAGGCAGUUACAUAUGCGUGCCAUCUAAUUAACCGUUUGCCAUCAGCUGCAAUAAAUGGAAAAACUCCUAUGGAGAUGUGGACUGGUAAAUCUGCUACUGAUUAUGAUUCUUUGCAUGUAUUUGGUUCCACUGCAUAUUAUCAUGUAAAAGAAUCUAAGUUAGACCCAAGAGCAAAGAAAGCAUUAUUCUUGGGUAUAACUGAUGGAGUAAAAGGAUAUCGUCUCUGGUGUCCUGAUACAAGGAAGAUUUUUUUCAGUAGAGAUGUGACUUUUGAUGAAUCAACCAUGUUGAAGUACAAGGAUUCACAAAAGGAUGACAAAACCAGUAGUACUUUGCAGCAGGUGGAGCUUGAAAAGGUUAACGAUGAUCCAGCUAAUAUUGAAGGGACAAAUGAUGAAGAGGUUCCUACCCAAGAAACUCUACAGCAACAAGAUUCAAUUGCAUAUAGAAGGCCAAGAAGAGAGAUUCGUAAGCCUGCUCGCUUUGAUGAUAUAGUGGCCUAUGCACUUCCAAUUACAGAUGAUGAUGUUCCUUCUACUUACACAGAAGUAAUAAGUAACCCUGAUGGUGUAAAGUGGAAGCAAGCAAUGAAUGAAGAAAUGCAGUCUCUUCAUAAAAAUAAGACCUGGGAGUUGGUGACACUACCCAAGGGAAAGAAGGCAAUUGGAUGCAAAUGGGUAUAUGCAAAGAAGGAAGGAUUUCCUGAUAAAAAUGAAAUUCGAUACAAGGCUAGAUUAGUAGCAAAGGGUUACGCUCAGAAAGAAGGAAUAGACUACAAUGAAGUGUUUUCUCCAGUUGUGAAGCAUUCGUCUAUUCAGAUUUUGCUAGCCUUGGUUGCGCAAUAUGAUCUUGAACUAGUUCAGCUUGAUGUGAAGACCGCGUUUUUACAUGGUGAUUUGGAAGAGGAAAUCUAUAUGACUCAGACAGAUGGAUUCAAGGUUGUUGGAAAAGAAAAUUGGGUUUGCAAACUGACAAAGUCGCUUUAUGGAUUGAAGCAAUCUCCGAGGCAGUGGUACAAGCGAUUUGAUCAGUUCAUGAAAGGGCAAAGGUACACAAGAAGUAAAUUUGAUCAUUGCGUGUAUUUUCAGAAGCUACAAGAAGGAACUUUCAUAUACUUGCUCUUAUAUGUUGAUGAUAUGCUAAUAGCAUCUAAGAGCAAAGUUGAGAUUGAAAGAUUGAAGACUCAACUCAAUCUCGAGUUUGAGAUGAAAGAUCUAGGAGAAGCUAAAAAGAUUCUCGGCAUAGAAAUAUGGAGAGAUAGAGCUCAUGAUAGAGUUAGCUUGUCUCAGAAGCAGUAUUUGAAAAAGGUACUACAGUAGUUUGGCAUGAACGAGCAAACAAAACCUGUAAGUACCCCGUUGGCUUCUCAUUUCAAGCUUUCUGCACAACUAUCUCCUUCGACGAAUACGGAACGAGAAUACAUGUUGCAAGUUCCGUAUUCUAAUGCAGUGGGUAGCUUGAUGUAUGCAAUGGUGUGUACAAGACCCGACAUUUCACAGGCAGUUAGUAUAGUGAGUAGGUAUAUGCAUAAUCCUGGAAAAGGACAUUGGCAAGCUGUGAAAUGGAUUCUACGGUAUAUUCAGAAGACCGUGGAUGUUGGAUUACUGUUCAAGCAGGAUAAUACACUUGGUAAAGGUGUUAUUGGGUACGCUGAUUCUGACUAUGCCGGUGAUUUAGACAAGCAAAGAUCAACCACCGGUUAUAUGUUUACACUUGCUGGAGGACCAAUAAGUUAGAAGUCUACACUACAGUCUACAGUUGCAUUGUCAACCACAGAAGCCGAGUACAUGGCUGUAACAGAGGCUGUAAAGGAGGCUAUUUGGUUACAAGGUAUGGCUAAAACCUUGGGGUUGGUUCAGGAGCAUAUUAACGUGUAUUGUGAUAGUCAAAGUGCUAUUCAUUUAGCAAAGAAUCAAGUCUAUCAUGCACGUACAAAACAUAUCGACGUACGAUUCCAUUUUGUGCGGGAAAUUAUUGAAGAGGGGAAAAUUUGUCUUCAGAAGAUCGAGACUGCAGAUAAUCCCGCAGAUAUGAUGACCAAGGUGGUAACAAGCAACCAAUUUCGAACAUUGUUUGAACUUGAUUAAUAUCCUGCAAGUUUAACAGUUGAAGAAGGCACUAUCAAGUAUUGUUGUCAAAAGCAGAAAGAAUUGUGUGAAGAUAAGAUUAUCGUAAUCAAAUCUUCAAGGUGGAGAUUAUUGGAACCCACCAUUGUUUGAAAAGUCAAAUGGGGUGGGCACCGAAAGUAGAAAGUAAUAUUGGUUGGCAAGUUGGGUUAAAAGUUGGCAUGGGAUAAUUGCAAUUUUGGUCCUUAAUUGUAUAGGGACAUUGCAAGUUGAUCCUUGAACCUCAACUAUAAAUAGGCCUAACCAUUGCUUACUUUCUUUAUCCCAUAAUUGCCAUUCUCUACUUAAGGCAUUAUUCUCUCUCUCUCUAUUUGUAAAUUUCACUUGUAAUUUUUGGAGUGAAAUAUAUUUGGUAGUGCCCGAGGACGUAGGCAAAAUUUGCUGAACCUCGUUAAAAUUCUGGUGUUCUUUAUUAUUUGUUUUGCAUAUUUUGUGAAUGUGAUUGAAGUGAUUUAUUGUGCUAUUAAAUUACGAUAGAGGGAUAUUCUGGCUAGGAAAGACUUGGUAUUUAAGUGAUCUUCGUGAUCUACCUCUCUUUCCUAGGAAUUGAACUUAGUGUGAUUUUUUAGUACAAUAAUUUUACUCUUUCACACGCUUCCGCGCAACAAACACCCCACUCCAUCCCCCAAGCCUUUCUUCACUCUGAAUACAAUACAUAAAAUAAAAAUAAAGAGACGACUCCUCCAUCUGCAAGGAAAGGAUGUUGCCCCCUUUCAACCAACCGUUCUCAAACCAUGGUUCAUGCCACCAACCAAGCUCACUUACCACCAAUAAUGGCUCUAAUCCAACAAACAGAUCGUAUUUUGCAAAGGAAAAUGAUCUCUUCAGCAAUCCAGUCUUUUCCAUUAAGUAUUAAUUCAUUCCUAGCUAGCCACAAUGACCAUAACAUAGCGCCACAAGCAACAAGCCACUUCCUCUUAACAUUCGAUCUUCCAAACAUGCAGCAACGUACGCAAAAUCACUGACAUUCCAAGGAAUCACCCACAUAUAUAACACCCCACCAUUGAAAAAACAGUCCCUAAGCUUUCCAAGAGGAAGAAAGAAAGAAAAAAAUUAUCACAAUUCUCUUCAGCUUCAUUGCACCAAGAACAAUUAACACAACCAUUAACUGUGGGAAUACCUCGAUUCCUUAAAAAUGCAUUUUGAAGGUAUGCCAUUUUGGAAUAACAACCAUAGGAAGCAUUGCACCUUUGUUGGAACGCAUAGCUUCCAAAUGAAAGAAAACCACACCUUUUGAUGCGCCAAAGAACCUCACAAUCAAGAGAAAACACAACUUCCUUCACAGUACAUUUCCCUUUUCUGUCCACCUCCCACAUCAACUGAUCUGCCUUGUUCUCAUUUAAAGAGACCCCUUUGAAAAUCUACCACAACUCCAUUGCAGACACCCUCUCCUGUUCAAACAAAUCUCUUUUGAAAAAUCUUUCACCCUUGUGAAGUCCAUCCCAAGCCUCGUCCACCGUGAUAUUUUUCUUCAAAGCCAAGAAGAAAGUCUAGGGAAUCUGUCUUUCAAAGCACACAAUCCAAUCCAAUGAUUCAUCCAAAAUGAAACUGAUCUCCUACUGCCGACGCACCAUAUAAAGCUUCCUUCACCUAACAUUUUGUCCAUCCCUUCGUGUCUUCUAACUUCCACAACUCCUUUCCAAGCCUUCGACACUGUUGAGAAUUCACCACAUUAGGCCUCCAACGGUAGUUGCCAAUACCAUAUUUUUCGUCCCAAUUAUUGAUGUGGUGAUUGUCAAUUUAAUUCUUACACAUUAAAAGUACAUAAAAAUAUUUAAAAAAAUAAAAAAUAAAAAUUUUUCUUAUUUCCAAUAAAAAAUCGUAAAAGUUUACUAAAAAUUAUGAAAAAGCAUUAUUUAAAAUUCAAAAUUAAAUAAAAAAUUUAAAAAAUAUAUAAAUUAUUUCAAAAAUUCAAAAAAAAAAGAAAAUAGUAAUAAGGUCUAGACUUAUCCAUAAAUUGGUUUGGACAAAGGUUUUAUGUCUCGAGACCAAACCAAAAUAGAAUUUAAGUAAUCAAAAUAUUUUUAAAUUUAAAUUUGAUUAUAAAAAUUAAUAUAAAAUAUAUGUUUAAUAUUUUAUUAUUUUAAACAAUAAAACAAGUUUUUUAGACGAGCUAAACCUAAAAAAAGCUUAACUGCAAUUUGACCUGAUCAGGCCUAAUAAGAAGCUUCAAUCUUCUAUGGAUGACGACUCAACUAUUAGUAUUAUUGUAAAGGAUAUUAAGGGAAAAAGCAAUAGGUCCGAGAACUUAACUUUUCGAUUUGUACCGUGUCGAUUUAACAACUCUGCACAUGUGAUGUGCUCGUUAGUAUAGGCUAGUCAUAUUCUUGUUCCACGCACUAGAUGGAGGAAACUUUGGUGGCUGUCGAAAACGCUGCGUGUUAAUAUCUAUGGUGAGUUUUCAAUAAACUGAACAAGAACUAUACUGAAUAUGAAGAGAAUGUAUUAAACAAGAAAGAACUCUUUUGUAUUUAGACUAUUAGCUUGAUAUGUACAUUGUAAUCAUGGUAUUUAUAGAACAUAUGAUUAGCUGUUACUACUUAACAACUUAACUAUUUUGAAUAACAAACUAACAGCUAGGCUAGAUGAAUAACACUCUUAACAUUCACCUAUCUUCCCGACAGGUAAAACCCGAAGAAGAUCUCAAAAUCUAGCAAAAGACGAUAUAAAGAGUGGCUUGGUAAGAAUAUCAGCAACCUGUUCACAGGCAGGAACGUCACCAACAAUAAUAGAUCCAUCUGCUACCUUCUCACGAACGAAAAAUAGAUCGAGCUCAAUAUGUUUGAAUUUCAAAUGUAAGACAGGGUUAUCAGCUAGAGCAACAACAUUAGAAUUGUCACGCCAAAUGGUUGGAGGAUCAAUAUUGUGAAGAUGUAACUCUUUUAGUAACGAAACUAACCAAGUAACAUCACUGGUAGCUGCAGUAAGACUCCGAUAUUCAGCGUCAGCCGUAGACCAUGAAACUACCUGUUAUUUCUUGAAACACCAUGAGAUAGGUGUGUAACCAAAAUACACACAAUAUUCCAUUGUAGAGCGUCGAUCAUCAAAAUCGAGCCCCUAGUUAGCAUCUGCAUAGCAAACUAACGAAAGCCGACAUGACGAAGGAAAAACAAUCCUAUAGUCAAGCGUACCACAUAAAUAUCACAGGAUUCGUUUUGAAGCAACCAUAUGAAUAGUAGCAGGCGCAUGCAUGAACUGGCAAACACGAUUCACAGCAUUAGCAAUAUCAGGACGAGUCAAGACCACAUACUGUAAAGCACCUGCAAGACUUUUGUACUCAGUAGGGUUAUCAAGACAAUCUCCGUCAUUCUUGGACAAAGUAGACGAGCUAAUCAUUGGAGUAUGAACACUUUUUGCAUGAGUCAUAAAACUUCUAUCAAGUAAAUCGUGAAUGUACUUCCUCUGAGAAAGAUGAAGACACCCUGUGGAGGAACGAGUGACUUCAAUCCCUAAAAAAUAGUGUAGAUCUCCCAUAUCUUUAAGUGAGAAUUUGUCAUUCAAUCAGACAUACUGCCAGUAAUUAUAAUGUCAUCCACGUAGACAAGCACAUAAAGGAUGGAGUUAGUCGUGACUUCAACAAGCAAAGAUGCAUCAGAUUUGGACAUAGUAAAGCCAACAGAAAGAAGAUAACACUUCAGUUUAUCAAACCAAGCACACGGAGCUUGACGAAGCCCAUAUAAAACUUUCUUCAGACGACAGACUAAAGGCUUGCUAGUUGAGCCAUAUUGAACAUACCCUAGAGGUUGUUGCAUGAAUACCUCGUUAACAAGAUCGCCAUUCAAAAAUGCAUUAUUCACAUCUACCUGACGAAGUUCCCAUCCUCUAGAAACAACAACAUAUAAAAUGACACGAGUAGUAGCAAGUUUUAUCACGGACUGAACGUUUCUUUGAAAUCAUACCCAGGCACUUGAGAACACCCUUUAGCUACUAAGCGAGCCUUUCGACGGGCAAUUGUACCAUAAUGAUUUUUCUUAACUUUGAAAAACCAUUUACAUCCAAUUGCCUUACGAUUAGAUGGUAAUUGAACAAGAUUGCAGGUGGAAUUAGUGAUGAGAGCAUCAUAUUCAACCUAAGCCGCAGCUCGCCAUUCUAUGGUAAAAAGGCUUCUUCAAUCAUGAGGUGCAAGAACUUCAACUAACAAUGCCUUAGCUUAAAAAUGUCAGCCUUAGACCGAGUGACCAUCGGAUGAGUAUUUGCUGGAGGCAAAGAUGAUGACGACGGAGAGAAAGAAGUAUCAGCAAUAGGUACAACAACAGACAGAGUAUCAACAUUAUUGUGUAAAGAAUGUGGCUUAUCUACCUCAGGCUGAGGAUUGGUAGAGAUAGAUGGCGAAGGGAAAAAACCAAUAGGUGAAGAUGAUACACGUGGUAGAACAGAUGAAGACUCCAGAUGCUAAGAAGGAACAACUCGUACAAUUGGAACAAACGUUGACUCAGUACCAGACGAAGCCAUGAAAUCCCUUAUAGCAGGUAAAGGAGCCAAGAACCUUUGUUCAUCAAACACAACAUGACGAGAAAUAACAAUCGUACCAUCCGGCAUAAGACAUUGAUAACCUUUGUGUUGGGGCCUAUAUCCCAAGAAUGUACAGGGUUGAGAACGAAAAUCCAACUUAUGAGACAAAAAUGGUCGUAAGUACAGAAAACAACAACACCCAAAUACUGUUGAUGAUCACACGUGGGAUCUUGUCCAUGAAGAGCCUUAUAAGGAGUCUGGCCAUACAGAACUGAGGUAGGGAGACAAUUGAUGAGAUGAACAGCACAACAAAAUGCAUAACCCUAAUAUUUCAUAGAAAGAUUCGCUUGAGCCAAAAGUGUAAUACCCAUUUCAACAAUAUGCCGAUGUUUGCGUUCAGCCACCUCAUUCUGUUCAGAACUAUGUGGACAAGACAACCGAUGAACUAUCCCUUGAGUUGUUAGAAUAGACGUGAAAGUGCGAAAUUCGCCACCCCAAUCACUCUGAAAUUGUUUGGUAUUUUUCCCGUAUUGAGUUUUGACAAGCUGCUGAAACUAAGCAAAACAAUCGACUACUUGAGACUUUUGGCGAAUAAGAUAAAUCCACGUAAAUCGAGUGCACAUCUCAACAAAGGACACAUAACACCAAUUAUGACCACAUGCAACUGAUGCAGGCCCCAUAGAUUAGAGACAACCAAAGCAAACGGUUCACUAUAGCUUCAUCCAGACUGAGAGGCUGACCGGGUUUCAAAACAGGAACAGCUGUUCCGUGUCCACUAAAGUAGAAGAACAGGACAUCUCCUGGUCUAGCAGUGUGCACCAUUUCAUAAAGUGCAGCCUUAAUUUUUAUACCCGUAGGCAUAGCCCAUGAGCCUGGUAUAUAAUUAUCAGUCAGCACCUUAAUAAACUGUCAAUCAAGGUUAAACCUUUUCAUAAUCAACCUUCUUAUGUUCUCCACAUCAUUUAUGCAUCCUUUCAGGUUGUAAGGGGUCUUUGGGUAAUUACAACCCACAAGAACAGCUUUCUUUUUAUGCACCAGCUUGUUAAUCAUGGGUAAGGCUAAGGGUGUUGGAAUGGUGGCCAAGAAAGCUGUACCAGCAUUCUUAUCACUGCAAUAAAGGCAUAAGGGUGUUGCUCGUGAAAUCCAAGGCUGGUUAUUUCAUCCCUAGCAUUCAUCACAAGCUGUUUAUUGGUUAAUGUACCAUUGGUCUCGUUGAUAAUCUUUUGAAGUGAAUAUAUAAAGGCCCCAUACGCCUUUCCUUGGGUUUUGUCACUCGGUUCCAAAUCAAGGGAUAGCUCAUCGGCUUGGCACCCACUUACUAGAAUCCCCUCAUCCUCCGUUAAUGACCUUGGCUCCUGAGAGGGUCGGAAUUUUAAACUGACGCUGUCUCGAAAGAUUCCGGUCAAAAGAUGGCCAAUGUUGCUGACAAUAUAUAAUCCAGUGCUGAAGGCAACUGUUGUGCCCAAUACGUCUGAUGCGGCGUUUAUGACGUUGGCUGCUGGGCGUCAACAGAUGGCCUUGGUGUAUUGAUUCAAGUGAAAUUCCCCUCUUCUGGGCGUCAACAGAUGGUGCUAUACUCCUUAGAGUACUAUGGGGUCCAAUUUGUUCUUUCUCUUUGACAAUGAGACCACCGCUGUGGCACGAAUCUGAAACGAUUCUGAAGCUUGUUUCUUUUGGCAGCUGCUCAAUCAAGUGCCUGAUGUCCACGUCUGCACAGCCAUGUAUAUUUAUAAAAAAAUGAUAUGAUUAAUAAAGGAAAAUAUGUAGUUGACGAGUUGUGAUCCCAUUUUGGAAUCAUGAUCAACAUUAAUAUUUAAAAAAAACUAAUUAUUAUUUUUUAAGAUUUAAAGUUAGAUUUAUAUUUUGACAUUUAAGGUUGAAUUUUUGAUUUGUUGAAUUUGAGUUUCGGAAAUUAUGAAAUUGUGGGUUCAAACCCUACUAUGUGUACUAUAUUUCUAUUUUUUUAUUCAUAAAAAGAAUAAAAAUGACAAAAAAUUUCUUUAAAUUAAUAUAAUUUACUUUAUAAAAUAAAAUUAUUGUGCAAAUUCCACUAUAAGACACCAUUAAUUAGGAAGAAUAAAAAACCUACCAUAAAUGAGAUUGAGAUCACAAGGCACGAUCGCAUCAUCCUUGCGGCCUGGUUUCAUGUCUGCCUCAACUCCAUGUCCACUGAAGUGGAAUAAUAGGACAUCUCCUUCUUUAGCCUCUUUCACCAUUUUUGCAAGACCAGCCAUAAUGUUUGCACGUGUAGGCAUUUUUGGGGACCCUGGUUCAUCAGUUAUGAGCUCAACAUGUUGAGGAUCAAAGUUAAACCUUUUCAAAAUCACGUCUCUCAUGGCAUGCACAUCAUUUAUGCAUCCUUUCAACUCGUAAGGGGUGUUGGGGUAGUUGCAUCCCACCAGAAGAGCUGUCUUCAUUCUGUCUUUGAGUUUGCUUGUCUUCUGAUUCGGAUGUUGCAGGAAGAACCCAUAUAUAUACACACACAAACUAGUUUACGUUAUACCAUGCAAUGUCAUAAACUCAUAAGCUCACGACAAGUUGGCACCUACAAUAUUUUUAUUUCAAAAUUUAUGGUUGUUAUUUUUUUAGUUAAAUUUAAUCAUUAAUCUUUUAAAUUAUUUUUUUAACAGAAAUGUUUGAUUAGAAUAUUAAUUUUUUUAAUGAUGUUGGCAUGAAAAUUCGUGUGGUAGUCCACAUGUACUUCAUGCUGACAUAAUAUUAUUCGUCAUACAUGCCGCAACAAUAAAUAAUUUAAAAUUUAUUUAAAAAAAUAUUAAAAAAUGUUUAUAUAAAUUUUAAAAAAUAGCAUGAAGUACACAUAGAUUACCAUGCGGGUUGCCAUGUUUAAAUAUAAUGUUUUAGUUAGUAUUUUUAUUAAAAACAUCAAUUCGACUGUUUUUUAAUGAACUUGUCCAUGGGCUGGGGCUUGACAAAAUUUUAGGCCCAUUUGAUAAGUUCAGUCUUAACCCGGCUCGAAAAAUUGGCUUAAAAUUUUAUUCAAGCUCGACCUAAAUAAAAAUGCUAAAACCCGAGCCUGGCUCGGCCUGCCCGUAUUAAAAUUUUUACAUUAUUUUUUAAAAAAAUAUAUAAAACACUAAAAACAUUCAAAUAAAUGUUUCCCAACAACUUGAAAAUAAAAUUUAAAAAAUAUUUAUACUUAAAUAACACUAACAUAGGUGCAACUUACAAAGUAAAUGCCACUAAAAUAAUAACAAAAUUAACAAUAAAAUAAGACUUAUAUAAUAUCCAAACAAUAAUAGCAAAAAAGUAGUCACAUAAUAGUGAAAUGGUAGGAAAACAGUAAGAAAACAACAUAUAUUUUUUUUCUUUUUGUAAAUUCGGGUCGGGAUGGGAAAAAAACACCUUACUUGAGGCCCUUAUCCAAGCCCAUCUUUCGGGUCUAUAUUUUUGUACAAGCCCUCCCACUUUUUGGGAGUCCGGCCUGAUCUAUGAACAUGUCUACUUUUAAAAGGUUGAUAGUUAAAUUUGAUUUUUUUAAAAGAUUAAAAGACCAAACUUAACUAAAAAGGACCAAAUUAAUAAACGAUAUAAUAAUUGCCUAUUUUUAUUUGUUUCUUUUGGUGUCAUGGAUAGAGCAAAUCAAGUGCACCAUUCAAAAAAUUGGGUUUAUAUGUACUAUUAGUUAAUUAGUUGACUAACUUCAAUAAAAAAUAAAAUUAAUUGGUCCAUAAAAAAAAUGUAUUUUUUACAAUUAGAAGUUACAAUAUUAACGAAACAUUAAUACAUUCAUGCUUUACUCAAUAAUUAAUUAAAAUAUUAAAUUAAUAAUCAAAAUAUAUCUAAAUUCGUAAUACAAUGUUUCAUACAAUAAUUACUCAAUCACUAUAUUGCAUUGUUUAAUUGUCGAAACAAGUUAUAACUUCCAUUGUAACAACUCAAAAGAAUAAUUACAAACCAAUGUAUUUUUAGACUUAAAUGUAGAACUAAAGCUUAGUUUGGAUGGACGGUGCGUUUACCUAUGAUUAGUGUAAAAAUAACGGUGGUGGUGAGAUUAGAUAUUGUAACGACACUGUAAUUUGAGACUUGGAUGGACGGUGCGUUUACCUAUGAUUAGUGUAAAAAUAACGGUGGUGGUGAGAUUAGAUAUUGUAACGACACUGUAAUUUGAGACAAAGAUAAAUUAAACGCACUGUACUAUACCAAACCAUCCAUCUAAACCUCACCUAAAAGUUGCUAAAGUUUCCUUCCUACCAUUAAACCAAUGUAUCAUCAACUAUUUGUACUUAUUUUUAAACACUUUUUAUUGGAGUUGCAUGAAAUGCUUGAUUGACUACGUGUAAAUUUAUACACAAAAAACCAAUAAUUUGAAAAGCUUUCCAUAGUACAAUUUUGAUAUAUUUGGCAUUUAAUAAGAAAUCAACAUAUGGAGUGGGUGAUGAAUCCGAAUUGGGGUGAGGACAGGUGUUGUGAUGGACAAAGCGUAAGACAAGGUGGUUCCCGACAGAAGCAAGAAAGCUCUGACAAAAGACCGCUAGGUAUUCCUUUUUCAGACAAAGAAGACAAAAGAUAGAACAUAUAGGGUGGUGGUCGAAGAUAAAUGAUUAUAACAGCACUGAUAUGAUCUGCUUCGCCUUCGUCCACCACCUCAUCUUUAUGUUUUUAUCUUGGUCGUGACUCACGUUGGCCUUCGUCUGCAAGUGCUGUCUAUCGUGAUUGUGUUGCCUAGCUUCUGAGUUCUAUGUAUUAAGGUCUAUUUGAAUGUGCGGUUUGCAGAGGUAAAAUUAGAAAAUUGUUUUUAAGUGUUAAAGUUAAAUUAUGUACCUAUAUGGAUUUGAUGGUAUAUAUUCCUCCUCCAGUGGAUCCAGCACCAUUAACCCAUCUACGUAGUGAGGAUAUGGAAUUUGAGACUCACAUCUUUAUAUAUACACACUAAUUUACAGCAAGUGUACUGACCAUAAGGACGACGACAUGUAGGUAGGUAGGUAGGUAGGCAGAUACAAACACUUUUGUUUGUCUUUUGUGUUUUGGAAAAUGCAUGCGGAAUCCAUGCAUAUGCAAACAUUUUGUGCAAGGAAUUUGCACAUCAGUACUGCAUAAAAGAGUGACUCUGGAGUUAUGGAAUUAUUUGAUAAUAUUGAAUACGAAAUAAAUUUAAAAUAAAAGAGUGGGUGAUUAAUCCGAAUCGGGGUGAGGACAGGUGUUGUGAUGGACAAAGCGUAAGACAAGGUGGUUCUCGACAGAAGCAAGAAAGCUCUGACAAAAGACAGCUAGGUAUUCCUUUUGCAGACAAAUUAAGAAGACAAAAGAUAGAAAAUAUAGGGUGGUGGUCGAAGAUAAAUGAUUAUAACAGCACUGAUAUGAUCUGCUACGCUUCGUCCACCACCUCAUCUUUAUGUUUAUAUCUUGGUCGUGACUCACGUUGGCCUUCGUCUGCAAGUGCUGUCGGUCCUACCAUUGUUCUUGUGUUGCCUAGCUUCUGAUUUCUAUGUAUUAGGGCACAUUUGAAUCGGGUUGAAGUUAGAAAAAUAUUUUUAAGGAUUGAAGUUAAAUUAUAAAUUUUUAUAAGAGUUAAAAUUUAAUUUUAUAAUUAUAUUAAUUUAUAUUUUUAUAAUUUUUAGAGGUCUUAAAUCAAAAUUUUAUUAUUAUUUUGGAUAAAUUGUGAUUUUACAAUAUUUAACUUAUAAUUUUAUAAAAUUUAGAAAGGCCUAAAUUAUAAUUUUCCAUUUUAGGGGUUCAAAAAGUAAUUUUCAUUUUAAAGGGGCCAUUUCCCCUUGCCUGCUCCGGUCACUGCCUUUACGAUGAGAUUUUUAACAGUCCGAUUUUGAGUCAAAUUAGAACAGCAGUUUUGAGACCACAAAUCUGACGAGAAAAAAUUAAUUUUAAAAUACAACAUGAGUUGCAUUAUGAUAGGAAAGUUGCAUGAAAAUAUUGAUAUAAAAAUUUUAUCGAUUUAGUGAUUAAUUAAGAAAAGGACCUAUUGUGUGUAGUCUGCUACCCUGGCACGUUUCUGUCUGCCGCAUUUGGCAUGAUAUUUUUAGGUUUUUCGUAGAUUGCUUUUGUUCUUUUUUCUUGAAAUCGACUUGAACACAAUUUUGCUCAGACGAUAGGGAGGAAGGGAGAGUUUUUCUGAACAUCAAUUCCUGCAAUCAUGGAAACAGAAUUAGUACAAUUGUCGCUCAAUGAAGAAGAGGAAAUUUUACAGAUCCAGACUGAUCCAUGCAUGCAAAAAGAACGUGAAGAUUUUCAGCUUGUAGGUUGUUUUUUAACAGCAAGCAUAAUACACUUUGCAGCUAUGAGAAGCACCAUGGCAAAUUUGUGGCACCCUGUCUGUGGAGUACAAAUUCGAGAUCUGGGAGAAAAAAGGUACCUUUUUAAAUUUUUUCGCAGUAUGAAUUUGGUAAAAGUUCUGAAGGGUUUACCGUGGACUUUUAAUAAUCAUUUAUUAAUACUCUGCAAACUGAGAAGGGGAGAAACUUGGCGAGUUAGCUGAAGCAACCAGAAAUGAAGAGACAGAUGAAUUGAUUGAUACAAAAAUAAACUUGAAUUUUGAUAUUGAGAAGGACGAAUGCUAUUGGGAACAGAGAGCUAGAUUUAACUGGUUGAAAUUAGAGGACAAAAAUACUGCUUUCUUUCAUAGCCAAGCUUCACAACGGAGAAAAAAGAAUCUCAUUCAUACGCUGAAAGAUGAAGAGGGUAGAGAAAUGGAGCUCAUUCAAGACAUUGAGGGUGUGGCUAAGUCUUUAUUUUCAGAAUUUAUUUUCGGCAAGAGAAAAUGGGAAUUAUGAUCAUAUUCUAUCAGGGAUAGAACGCUGCAUUCAUGCGGAUGACAACCGAAAUCUUACAGAACCAUAUUCCAGAGAGGAAAUUAGAGAAGCUGUUUUUGAAAUGGGACCUACAAAAGCUCCAGUGGAGGAUGGAUUUCCAGCAUUAUUCUAUCAGAAGUGCUGGCAGAUUGUUGGGGAUGACGUCCUAGCUUUUGUCUACAAAUUUUAAACGGAAAUAUGUAGGUUAUUCCAAUAAAUUCCACAAAUAUAGUGCUUAUUCCAAAAGUCAGCAAUCCAUCAACUAUGAUGCAAUUUAGGCCAAUUAGUCUAUGCAAUUUACUUUACAAAAUUAUUGCGAAGGUACUUGCAAACAGAUUUCGAAGUGUUAUUGGCAAAUGUAUUGAUGAAGCGCAAAGUGCUUUUGUGCCAGGCAGGUUAAUAUCAGAUAAUGUAUUACUCACUUACGAAAGAUUGCACAAGUUAAAUCAAAAGAGAACGGAAAAAAAGAUUUAUGACCGUUAAACUCGAUGAGUAACGCUUAUGACAGGAUAGAAUGAAUACUUAUAGAGGAGUUCAUGAAAAAGAUGGGGUUUGAUUUUAGUUGGGUAAAUGCCAUUAUGAAAUGUGUCACUGUUGCUUAUUCAGUUGUCAUAAAUGGGUACAGAGGAGAUAAAUUUGUACCAACCAGAGGACUUAGACAAGGGUGUACCCAUUAAGCCCGUUUCUAUUCCUGAUAUGUGGUGAAGGAUUAUCGAGCUUGCUGAGGUUAGCAAUGAAGAGAGAUCGUCUCAAAGGAGUACGGGUGAGUAGAUACGGUCCACAGGUAUCUCAUCUUUUAUUUGCUGAUGACUGCAUACUGUUUGGAGAGGCAACUAGGAGGGGUGCAAACAUCAUAAAGGAUAUUUUGUGUGAAUUCAAAGUUUGCUCGGGACAAUGUGUAAAUUUUGAUAAAUCAACGGUAUUCUUUAGUAAAAACACGUUGGAGGAGGAUAGGAGACAAGUGGUUGAUGUGUUGGGGGUACGUAGGACAAGAAAACCUGAACGAUAUCUAGGGCUACCGAAUAUGGUGGGGCGAAAGAAAAAAGAAGCUUUUCAGAGUUUAAAGGAUCGAAUCAAAACACAUAUUGAUAACUGGAGCAACAGAUUUUUAUCACGAGGGAAAGAAAUUUUUAUAAAGGCCAUUUUGCAAGCUAUUCCGACUUAUUCUAUGGCAUGUUUCUUACUGCCGAGAGCUCUUUGUGAUGAAAUGGAGAGUAUUAUAGCAAGAUUCUGGUGGCAAAAAGGAGGGGGCAAAAGGGGAAUUCAUUGGUGCACUUGGAAAAACCUUUGUUCGUUAAAAGAAAAUGGUGGUCUAGGCUUUCGAGAUCUUAGUCAAUUUAAUAUUGCGUUAUUAGCUAAACAAGGUUGGCGUCUCAUUAAUUUCCCAAAUUCUUUAUUAGCCAGAGUUUUGAAAGCUAAAUAUUUUCCACAGUCCAGUUUUUUAAACGCAGAGUUGGGGAAUUUACCUUCAUUUACCUGGAAGAGCAUCUGGGCGGCAAAAGGACUUCUUCAAAGAGGAUUGGGUUGGAGAGUUGGUAAAGGGAGUUGCAUUUCUAUCUGGGAAGACAACUGGAUUCAGGGGAUUGACAAGGUGGCUGAGCUUAAUAGCACAAACAGAAGAGAAUUACAGUUAGUUUCAGACCUCAUUCAAUUCAAGUAGAAAAUGGAAGUCAGACUUAAUUAAAAGUACCUUUCAAGAAGAUACUGCUCGGAAGAUUCUACAAAUUCCUCUGGCAGAGACCGAACAUGAGGAUAUUCAGGUGUGGAGUGGAGAACUAUCUGGUGAGUUUUCAGUACGUAGUGCGUAUAAACUACUACAAGAUGCUUCUACAGCUAAUGACUACUUAUUACAGACCGAAACAAGAAAUUUUUACAAAAAAUUAUGGAGCCUACAAUUGCCUUCAAAAAUUGCAAUUACAAUCUGGAGGAUUUCAUGGGAUAAUAUCCCUCACUUUGGUAAUCUCAGCUUGAGGAGGGUUAGUUCAACUGCCCGCUGUCCACGAUGUUAUUUUGGAGUAGAAGAGAGUCUUCAUGUUUUCCGAGAGUGUCCUUAUACAAGAGAAGUGUGGCAAGCAUUAAACUUAGCAUGGGUCAUGGAGAAUACGAGUCAAAAUACAUGGGAGUGGCUAACUUGGGUUUUCAAGAACAGCAACAAUUACCAGUGUCGGCUUUUCUGCUAUGCGUUAUGGUUGAUAUGGUCCUUUAGAAACAAACUCAUUCACGAGGGCAAAAAUUCAACAGGAAGGGGAUUAGCUCAGAAUAUUCAAAGACAUAUGGUAGAAUAUGAGGGAAUAAAUGCUGAGAAGAAAACUGAGAAAAAAAUUUUCAAGAGUCACAGUAUACAGGAAAACGUACCGAGAAUAUCGAUCAAAUUUGAUGCAGCACUGGAUAGUAGAACCUUCAAAUCAGCGACAGGACUAGUUGGUUGGGAUAUGAGGGGAAAUCUACUGGUGAUAAAAACGGUUAUCCACAGAAAUGUUCCCUCAUCAUUCGCUCAUCAUUCGCAGCAGAGGCAUAUGCAUGUUUAGAAGGCAUGAAAUUAGGGAUUGCUUUAGGAUCUCAGUCAAUUAGAAUUAUGGGAGACUCAAAAACCUUCAUAAAGAAGAGCAAGGCGAUGUCAACAGAUAAAUCGGUAAUAGGUGCAUUAUUAAAGAUAUUCAGAACAAGAAAUCCUUUUUUCAAGAUCUUACUUUAAAGCACAUACAUAGAUCAGAGAAUACACAUGCACAUGGUCUAGCAAAGAGAGCUCUCGCGAAAGAAGAAAACAUUUACCUGAUAGGAGAAGAACUGGACCGCCACAUUUCAACCUUGGAUGAAGAUUGGCAAAGAAAUCCGGAUUGAAGAAAUGGGUGAAGGAGCAGCAUCCAAACAGAUAGCUUAAUGAAGUUUAAAUCUAUGGGGAAGAGCUAUCGACAUAACAGAUGGGACCUUGGAAAUGACUCUUCAAUAGCCUUUAUGGUUUCCAGCUGUUUCUGAUUAAUGACUGGGAGAGGUUUCAUUCGGUAGAUUUUAAUUUCAAUUAAUGCUUUUGUCUUUUUCCUUUUAAUUUUCUAGCUUUUGGAUUGACGUUUCUUGGGGGGUGUAAUUUUAUAUUUGUUUAGGUUGAAAAUUAGAUUGGUUCUUUUCUGUUUGGUGCUUUGACUUAGGCCUUUGAUUUGGGCUGAUUGGAUUAUUAUUAUUAUUUUUUCUUUCAUAAUAAAUACCCAGCCAUUCUAUCAAAAAAAAAAAAAAAAAGGAAAUGACCUAUUUGUAUAAAAUGUAGAAUUUGAAUUCUAGAAGCUAGAAGGGUUAACUAGCUAUGAAAUUAUAGUACCCCGAAAAUUACUAUAGUAAGAAAGUAAUAUAAUAUCUCUGAUAUGGUAAAAUAAGGAAAUAAAGUGAUAAAAAGGGAAAUUGAGUUAUGUCAAUAAUGAAAGGUAUACUAUGACAUAUUAAUUCAAGAAAGGAUUAAAUCGUAAAAGUGAGAAAAGUUUUAUUGCUCAAGAGUAAAUACUCAAAAAUUGAGGGGUUAAAGUGUAAAUAUGAAAAAUUUGAAGGACCAAUAAUGUAAAUAUUUUAAGGGUGGAAUAAUCUAGAAACUAAGGAAAAUGGAUUAAUUAGGACCAAAUUGAAAAGGUAGAGAAUUUUGAGGGACUAAAUUGCAAUUUUACCAAAUCAAGUGAUGACUCAAGGAUGAAAUUUCAAAAGAUUAUAAAGGGCAAAAUGGUCAAUUAGAAGGAGAGAGAAUUCUAGAAGGUAAUGAUAUGUUUGUGAUAUUUUUAAUUAAUUAAUUAGAUAAAUGUUAUUUAAUGAAUAUUUUAUUAAGAGUUUUAGUAUUAUUUUAUUAUUAAAUGAUUAAUAUAAAAGGGAGGAAAGAUGAUGAGAAUGGAUCAUCUUUUUCAUGCAUCUCACGUUGAAGAGAAGGGAAAAAAAAGAAAGUUUUACUUUCUUUAUAAUUUGGUCUUUUUACCAAAAAUUCACCAUUUUCACUUAGAAAUCAAAAGAAUUUCUAUAUCCAUCAAGAGAGAAAGAUAACAAGGAGACUAUGGGGAGCUAGAAUAUCAAGUUAGAUUCAAGAAAUAGAAGCUGGAGGAGGGAGAAAAUCAAGUUAAAGAUUGAAAUCAAUGGCAUAAGUUAAGAACAUCAAUAUUUUUAUAUACUUUUGAGUUUGAUAUUAUUGAAAAAGUAGGAAAUUAAUGUUAAGAUAGAGUUUCAUUAUAUAAGGUUCUAUAUUCUUGUUAUGUUAGUAAAGGGAAAUAAGAGAAAGUGAUGGAAAAUAUUGAAGAGAAAGGAAAGGAAAGUGUUAUAAAUUUAGUUAUCAACAUUUUACACUAAAAUAGUUUUGAGACAGCAGCAGUAGUCUGAAUUUGAAAAUCUACCAAAAAUCGUAUAAAUUGAAUUAGAAGAUGAAAAAAAUAUUAAAUUAAAUCAUAUUGAGUCUAGUUUCUCAUAGAAGAAACGGUGUAAGCAAAGGAAUUGUAAAUUAUGAGAUACAAUAGGUUUUGUGAGAUAAGGUCAGAAUGAUUUCAGGUUCCCCUGUACUGACUUUUGAAAAUCAUAAAAAAUUGGAUAAAAAUAAUUAGAGGCUUAAAUUUAUAUGUUUAAAUCCUUAAUGAGUCUAUUUUCAAUAGAAACAAACGGUAACAUCAUUCAAAUUCUGUAUGAGGAGGUAAUUAAUUUUUAGUGAAGAAGGGUCGGAACUGUCAGACAGCAGAAUAGGGAUGAAUUUAAAGAAUAAACUGUGCUUAUUGGCUAAACCAAAAAUUCAGAAAAUUUUAUGGUAAGAAUAAAUGUGAGUCUAGUUUCAGAUAAAAUUUACGGAUCUUAAUUUGGAGUUCUGUAUCUCAAGAUAUAAAUAAUUUAGUGACUAUGACUCAAGUGAACAGCUUUGAAUGAAUAUAUAUAAGUAAAUGGUGAAAUUAUAGAUAAUGUUACCUAUAAGCAUGUUAUAUACAUUAAGGAUGUGGAAUGGAGAGGAGGAGGAGGAAAAUAUAUGAUUAUUUAACUAGCAUGAUUUUUCAUUAAAAAUGACCAAUUUACAUGUUUUAGGUUUAGGGACUAAAUUGAACAAAUGUGAAACUUUUAGGGUAAAUUUGUAAAAAUGUCAAAAAGUGACCAAAUUGCAUGAAAUGAAUUUUUUUAUUAUUUAAAUUAGUAAAUUGAAUGAAAUAUUAAUUUAGAUCAUGAUUGGGUUGAAAUUCGAGAAAAAAUAGAAAUUUUUCAAAAUGUCAUUGAAUUUUGGUAUUUUUGCAAUUUAGCCUGUUAAGUUCGUAUGAACUAUAUUUUGUAUAAUUUUAAUUGAAGUGAAUGUUAUUUAGUAAUGAAUAUUAUAUAUAUGUGUGUUUUAUUAUUGGAAUUGAAUUAUUAUUGGUAAUAUGUAUUGGUAGAUUAAAAAGUGGAAAGUGAAUUUGAAUUGAAAUGUGAUUAUUGAAUAUAAAUUGAAAUGGUUUGAAUUGAAUUAUUGAAUUAAACUGGAAUAUUGAAAUUGGUGAUGGAUAUGGAUUUUAUUGGAAUUGAAAUUGAGAAAGUGGAAAUUGAUAUGUGAGACUGAUACUGAACUGAAUUAUGGAAAACUGAAUACUGUUAUGUGUACUGCAUUGAACUGUGAAAAUACUGAAGUAACGAAUUACUGCAAUACUGUGAAACUGAUUGAAAUAAGAAAUUUGUAAUUGAUACUAAACUAAGAUGGAAAUUGUACUGAAAGGUAAAUUAAAUACCCUAUUAACUAGUCAGGCUAGUCGGAUAUAGUUGGCAUGCCAUAAGAUAUGGAAGAGUACGGGGUAUUUGCCGGCUUACUGAUCAGGCACUUAUGUGCCGACUACUGUUACUGUUACUGAAUCGGCACUUUUUGUGUCGAAUACUGUUACUGUUACUGUUACCGAUUCGGCACUUUGUGUGUCAAAUACUGUUACCGUUACUGUUACAGAUUCAACACUUUGUGUGUUGAAUACUAUUAUUGUUACUUCUACUGUUACCGUUACUGAUUACUGUUUACUGGUGUGUUUGGUUGGAAUCCGUGUAUCCGUCGAGUCCGAGUCAAGUUUGUUGACACCAUUUUUUUUUAUUGAAAACGGGGUCGACUUGGGUUUUGAAAAUGAAACGGGAGUCGCCACCAAUCCUUUUUUUAUGAGGUGUGAUUGGGUCACCUUGAAAAAUGGUUGUUUUUAAUAAAUGUUUUGAUUUUAUUAAAACAAUGGUUUUGAUCCACGAAAUUUAGAAAACGGGUUCGGGAGUCGGUUACGUACGAGGAAGGAUUAGCACCCUCGUAACGCCCAGAAAUUGGUACCUAGUUGAUUAACUAAUGUCUUGAUGUCGAAAAUUAAAAACUUGGAAAAAUAUUUAAAAAUACGAUCAUUGUAUUAAAACGUUGAAAAGUUUCAGGAAAAGGGGCAUAUUUUACGUUAUUCGAGAAAGAAAUUCAUAUCUAGUAAGUUAGGACACAAUGUCUCGAAUUCUCGAUACGCGAAUGAAAAAUGCUUAUUUAAAAGAUAUUUAACUAUCUUGGAUUAAAAAAUGGAUCAUGACCAGUAAGUUAGGACACGAUCCUUUUUUAAUUCCUGAUAUCGUUUAAAACUUAAGUUUGAAAAUAUUCACGUGUUUAGAUUUAUUGUGAAAAUCGAAACCCAGUAAGUUAGGGCACGACUUUCUCAAAUCUAAAUACAAAAUACUACAUUUAUUAAUUUUUAGAAAAAAAAUCCUCAUCUCGGGAAAGUAACGUGUCAUAUCCAAUGCGUUAGGACACAACAUAUUGAAUUCUCGAUAAUGAGCCUUUUAUUAUUUUAAAAAGAGUAAUCUCGAUUAUUUAGGUUCAACGAAGAAAAUCGGAACCCAAUACGUCAGGGUUCGAUUCUCUCAAGAUCCCAAAUAUCGAGUAUUACUUUUUCUUUUAAAAUUUUCCUUUUCAAGAAUCUGAGUGAAAAUGAAUAUAAUGGAUAAAUAAAUAAGUAAAUAAAUAAAUGAAUAAAUGAAUCAAGCAAAUAAAAUUAAAAAAUGCAAGAAAUGUAUGGAUGUAUACGUGUAUGUAUAUAUAUAUUAUAAGACAUAAUAAGCAAUGUAAAUAAGCAUGCAUGCAUAUAUUUAUGAAAACUAAAAGGUAUGUACAUGGGUAUGUAUACAAAUUACAUACUAUAAACGCAUAAGCAUAUAAAUAUGUAUACACAUACUUAUGAAGAUUAAAAAUAUACACAUAGAUAUAUAUAAUUGCGUAUGUAAAUUAAUUAUAGUAUAAAAAACAUAAGUAUAUAUAUAUAUAAGAAAAAAUAAAAUAUAAAGAUAAAUUUAAUAACCUUUAAAGGUAUACAUAUAUAUGUUACAAAAAUAUGUGCGUGUAUAUAAUAUAUAUAUAACAAACUUUUAGAAAAGAAAGAAAAAUAAAAUAAAUAAAUAAUAAAAAUAAAAAUGAAAGAAAACAUAAAUGAAAUAAGGAUAAUAAUAAUAAUAUUACUAAUAGAAUAAUAAAAUAAUCUAAAGUUUAAAUAUAUAUAUAUGCGUAUAUAUAAGUAAUUAAAAUAAUAAUAAUAGUAAUAAUAAAUAAUAAAAGAUGAUAAUACAUUAAAAUAAUGAAGAAAAUAAUAAAAAUGCUAAAAAGGGGACUAAAUCGAAAUAAAAGCAAACAAUACGGGGCGAAAUCGGAAUAAAAAAAAGAGGGAUUGAUUUGAAUGUGUGAAUAACAUAGAGGGGCUGGAAGGGAAAAUUUCCCUUCUCCACUAAAACGCACAGCUUCAUUGAGGACCAAAUCGAGAGAAAAGUGAAAUUUUGCGGCAAAAUUGAAAAAUAAAAACAAAAUAGGACCCAAUCGUAAACAGCCUCAAAAGUGGAAGGACCAGGAGCACAAAUAACCCCUUUUAUCCAAAAACACGCGGAUCCUUGGCGGUUCGGGUCGGGUCAGUCCAAUCCAUGUUAAAACGAAGUCAUUUUGAGGCUUCCUGAACUCCUUCAAAACGGCGCCGUUUUAAUAUCUUAUAUAAAUCAUUUUUUUCCUUAAAAUUUCAUUUUCUCCCUUUUCCUAAAAAAAACCCUAAAAUUCUCUCAAACCCUCUCCCCAUUUUUCGGGCACUGCCCAGAAGCCAGCGAGAAGAGCCGCCGUCGACGCCGUCGCGCCGGUCGCUGUACACGGUGGCCGAAAAAUCUAAAAAGGUACUUUUUUUCUCUUUUUUAUUCUAUAUGCGUAUAUACAUAUAUAUUUUACACAAAUCAAAAUAAUAAAAAAAUAAAAUAAAUAACAAUGAACAAAAAAAGAUUUGGAAACUAAAACCUUUUCUCCGUUUUUAUUUCUCUUUGUUUUUUGCUUUUUCAAAAGGAAAUCCCCCCUUUUUUACAAACAUAAAGAUCCGUCCCCCCUACAAUCUAUUUUUCAUCGGUUUUUAUACCGAAAAUAAAAUAAAAAACAAAGCCCCCUGUUGCUUGCUGUUGUGGUUUUUCUUUAUUGUUUGCAGGUGGAGUGGGUGGCGAUGGGACAGUGGCGGUGGUGGCAGUGUGGCGGCUAGCAGAGAUGGUGGCAGGGCAAGUGGGGUGCGGCGCUAGGCUAGGCUAGGGUUAGUUCUAGUUUGGGUUAGGCUAGUUGGGUCUGGGUCUGUCAUUGGAUUAAAGUUUGUAAAUGGGUUGUCUUGGUUUGGUUUGUUUUUGCUGGUACGGGCUCGGGCAAAAAUGGGCUUGUACAAAGUUAAUAGGGGUAAAUGAAAUAAAGAUACUGAUAAAACUAAAUCUGAAUGAUAUGACAUAUGUGAAAGGUAAGAAUUAUGAUUCAAGAAACAGAUAAGGAUAAAUUUUAUGAAAUAGAUUUUGAUAAUAUGAAAUGAUGUAAAAAUGAGAAGUGAAAAUGAAAUAAUUUGAAAUAGUGAAAUAAUACUUGAAUUUAAUUGAAUACAAGUUAUUGAAAUAUAUUUAAUGUAUGAAGUGAGCAUUUAAAGACUCUAACUAUAAAUUGAUUAUAAAAGAAUGAAUUGACGAUGGAAAUUGAUGAUGGAUAAAUUAUUAAAAUGGAAUGGGAAAUUGAAACAAAUGUGAAAUAGUUACUGAAAGACUAAUGUUGUAAGGUUUUAGAUAUGAAAUAGAAUAAGUUAUUGAAUUGAGAUGUAUAAAUGAAAUAUAUGAAAUAAUGAUUUUAUGAAAUGGUUAUUGAUGAAAUGCAUGAAAUAAAUACUGAUAUAGUAAGAAGAUAAAUAAGUUAAAAUAAAGAGAAGCUAUGUAAAAAAAAACAUACAUUUGAAAUAAAAUUAAAGUUUAAAUGCAUGAAUAAUAUAUUAAUGGUAAAUUAGUGGAAGAUUUAAUAUAUAUACAUCUGUGUGUGUGUGUGUUGCUUUUGCCUUAAGUAUUUGAAUUAUAGUAAUACCACUGGGUGUAUACUCAGCGUACGGUUUGUUUUCGUGCGCAGAUUAGGUAUAGAAAUUUUUGAAGAGUUGAAUUUGAGAUUACAAGUUUUCAUCUCAUCACAUCUUCAAGCAACAACAGGGUAUGCUUUAAAGUUUUGAUUAGAAUGGCAUGUACUUAGGGAAAAAAAAUAGGUAUGUUCCAAUUUUUAGUUUUUGUGUUCAAAUAUAUUAGAAAUUAGCCAAGAAUUAAUUUGGCACCACAUGUAACAUUCCUAUAUCAGGUUCCUUAAGUCGAACAUGGUAUAGGGGUGUUACAAGAUUAAUUCUAGUGAAGUUGAAAAUAGAUGUGACAGUAAGAUUAACUAUUAUGGUGAUGAGAUUAAAAUCACUGGUGAGAUGUGUGCUAGGAUUUAUGCAUAUAGAUUGUAGAUUUAUAGUAAGAAAGCAAAAUGACCAUUAUGAACAUUAAACUAAAAUUAAACUAAAGUAGUUUGCACCCUUCCGUAUAUUUUUGUACAAAUAAUAUUUUAACGAUAAAAAUAUUAUAUUUCAUAUUUCAUUUAUAAAUCAUGCAUGUCAAAUUUGACGUAAAUUAAAAAUUUCUAACUAUUUAUUUUAUGUAAAAAUACUUUUAACUGGUUAAUAAAUGUUAAUAUAUACAAUAUUUUAGACCGAUAAGAUAGAAAUAUCAAAUCAAUUUGAAAAUUUGCAUGCAUGAAUCAUACAAUAAUAUCGAUAAAUUCAAUGGUUGAAUUGUUAAAUUAAUAAUCAUAUAAAAAUAUAUGGAAGCGUAUAAAAUUACUUUAGUUUCAUACUAGUGUAAGCGGAUCUCUCCCAUUUUAAUAUAUAAAGUUAAUUAUAUAAUUUAAAAUUAUGUAAUUAAUAUUAUUUAUAAAUAUUAUAAGUAUAAAUAUAUUUCUUUAUACGCCUAACAAAUGUAAAGAAAAUCCACAAUCAAGCUAUUUGUUGAGGGGAGGUAUGUAAUUUUUAAUUUUAUGUAAUUAUAUAUACGACCCCUUGUAAAAUGGGAAUCCAGAUGAAUUUAUGCGCCCUGACCCUUCUUAAAACGAUAAAUCUUGUUUUUAGUCUUUUAAAAUUUAUUUUUAAGUUAGUACAUGGUAAAAUUUUACUUUUGCUCUUAAAAAAUGAUAAAAUUUUAAUUAAUCUUUUAAAAAUAAAAAAAGAUAUAAAUUAUUAAAAUGAUAAGAUUUCAUUCUAACUCUCCUAAAGAAUAUAUAAUUCAAUUAUAACUUUUUAAAAAAAUGAAUUUUUGAUUUCAUCCUUAUUUGAACUUCAAAAAUUACUCAAGAAAAAAAAGUUUUGCUGACUAAGGCAACAAACCAAAGAGAAACGAGAUUCACGAAGGGAUGAAGACGAAGUACAAAACCAAAGGGAUAAUCAAAGGAGAAAAGUUGUAUAAAAUAUAUGUGGUAGCGGGGAAGAGAUGCUAAGGGAUUAAUUUAUAUUUUGUUAUUCAAUAUAUAUAUUUAAUUCUUUCACUAUUUAUUGCUAUACAAAUAUUAGAUUUAUUUAAAAAUUAUGCUAUUUGUUUGUCGGAUUAAUCGUAUUUCGGGGCCGGAGCAAUGAACCUAUUUAAAGCGGUUCAUAUUGUCCUAAAAGAUCCCAACAAUGAAUAUUAAUUUUAUUUCCCCACCUAACUACGUACUCUUGGUUGGGUAGGUCCUGGCAGAGAAGUUAUAGACACAGUUUUAUACUUUGCGUCUGGAAUACUUCACUUAAUUUCCUUUGCUAUAUUGAGUUUUGGCGGUAUUUAUCAUGCACUUUGGGACUUAAAGCUCUUGAAUAAUCUUUUUCAUUUUUCGAUUAUGUAUAGAAAGAUAGAAAUAAAAUGACCAUAAUUUUGGAUAUCACUUCAUUUUGCUUGAUACAGGUGUUGUUCUUCUAGUAUAUGAUAUCUGGGCUUAGUUUAAAUUUAAAUAAAAUAAUUUAAUAGUUCGAAUUAAACCAAACUUAAACAAACAUAUUGAUACUAAAUAUAAAUCUAACAUAAACCUAGCGGCCCAUGAAUGCUUUACAUACUAAUAAAAUCAACUAAUAUUUUAUAAAUACUAUUGAAUAUAUAUGAUCAGGUAGUAUAAAUGUUGAUCAAAUAACAUAAAAAUUCAUGUACAUUCUUUACAUAAAGUUAGAACCUUUUGGGCACUGUCUUAAAUCUAUUGACAUCGGUAUUGUUGUUAGUGCAGGAGAAUAUGGGUUCGAGUACACUGAGACAUAUUAUCCUCUUAUUUAAAGGUUGAGAAGAAAUUAUAAAUAAUUCUAAGUAGUAUUUCAAAUUUUAUUAUAUUGGAUGAAUGGUUAUCUUAGAUCACAAGCUAAAUUUUGGGUUUUAUUUAGUAUGAGCUUUGUUAAUAAACUUAUUGCAUUAAUAUUGGGCUAUUUGGUUUAUAAGACUCUUCGACCUUUUUUUUUUUUUAAGAAUAAAAACAAAAUGAGCUCAUUUUUUAUUUUAUUUUUAAGUAUAUUUAUAUAAUAUUGAAUAUAUAAAUAUGUUUUAUUAUUUUGUUAUUAAAUAUUACAAAAAGUUACAAAUAAAUCAACAAAUUACAAAAAACCCUAAGUUUUACAGAUUUUACGAUUUGAUACUUAUGUUCUGAAAUAUUGACUGUUUAAGUGAUGAAUGAAUAUUUGUUACACGUUUUAAGCUUUUAUUUAUUAAAAUUUGCUUUAUUUCUAUGGAUUUUUAAUUAAAUUUGAGGACAAUGCAUAAUAUUAAAUUUAGCUCUUAACAUUUACAUAUUUUAUCAAUUUGGCCUUUGUUAUUGUUUUGAGACAAAUUUUGGCCUUCAACCUUUUAGAAAAGAGUUAAAAUGAUAUAUAUUUUUUAAUGAGAAUACUAAUUAAAAUGUCAAAACUUUAAACACGAUAGCUUGCAUGACAAUUCACGUGCACUCCGAGUUAUUUCUUUUGAAAAUUUAUGAACAUUUUAUAUUUUAUAAUUUUGAUUUUUAUAAUUUUGAAUUGUUUAGCAUGAUUAGACUCUUUUUAAAAAAAAUUAAGAGUAAAAUUUAGCUCAAAAAAAGAAUAAAGGUCAAAUUGAUAAAAAAAUAUAAAAGUUGAAGGUUAAAUUUAUCAUUAUACCAUUUUACAACUAGCUAUAUUUAAGUUGGUACCAUUUUACCGCAUAGGUCUGAAGGUCUGCUCGAAAUUUGAGAGGGUUUGAACAAAAAUAUUAAGCCCAAAAAAUGGGUUUGACCAAAAAUAUUAGGCUCGUUUAAAAUAUAGGCCAGACUCGAACUUGAACAUUUAAGGACCAAGCCCAACUUGACCUGUUUUUAAAUUUAUAAUACUUAUAUUAUGUUAUUUUUAUAUACUAUAUAAGUUAUCUUAUUGAUAAAUAUAAUGAUAACAAAUUUAAAUAUUAAGAAAAAUACGAAAAUUUUUCAAAAUUUAUUUCACUCUUCAAAAUUUUACAUCUUUCAAAAUAAACUGUCCGCUUUAGGUCUUAAACCUUGUAAUAUAUAUAUGAUUCAUUAACAAUUAAAUUAUUAGAGUUAUUUCCAAAAAUUUAAAUAAAAAAUAAACAAAAGAAGAAAUAAAAUUAUAUAAAUAAAAAGCAAGGAUAUAAUAGGAAAGAAAAACUUCAAACGAUUGACACAGACAUAGAGGUGCUCAUGGGCUGGGCCGAGCCCAAAAAAAUUUCGGCCUGCAUCCUAGGCCCGGGCUCGGUCCGAACCGAAAUAUGGGCCUGAAAUUUUGUCCAGGCCUGACUCGAAAAAAAAUUCCUAAGUCCGAGCCCGACCUGGGCCAAAAAAGUGGUGCUCGAGGCCCGGCCUAUUUUCUAAACGGGCCUUAUUUUUUGCCCAAAUCUAUAUUUUGAGCCUAUAUUUUUACCCGAAUCCUCUUAUAUUUUGGACGGGCUGUCGGGCUGAGCCGAACCACCCGACCCAUGAGCACCUCUACACAAACAGUACCAUUGACAAUAACACUAAACACUGUUACUCAAAGGAAGCUCCAGUACGUUUGAAAUCAAAGCAAGGGUAAAUGUUGGUUCAUUUCCACCCUUGUGGGGGUGUUUUCAAAUCUAAUUUUAUAUUUUUAUACAAAAAUAAAAUAUAUAUACAUAAUAAAAUUUAAACUUAAAUCUUUAUCAUUUUCAUCAUUUAUAUUUUAUCGCAUAAUCAAAUUCUCAUUCAUUAUUUAUAACAAUUUUUUAUAAAUAUAUUUAUUACGUAAUUCUAUUUUUUAUAUUUUUCAUUUUUCUAUAAUUUUAAAAAAGAAAAUGAAAUUUAUGAUUCAUACAAAAAAAUAAAAAUAAAAAAUAAAAAACAAAAGUACUCCAAAGUUGUAUUACUCGAAAUUAUGAUUCCAACAGUGUUAUAAUCAAUACCUCUGACUCGACGAUGGUGUCGAAGCGUCAGGGGUUAGACGAAGGUAUUGAUUAACUUUGUUGUGGUGCAGAUGAUGAGCAUAAAUACUGAAUUAAUUGCAAUUAAUUGUACGUAUACGGAGCUGUUUAUGGGUAGGGUAGUUGUUACCGACGAAUUAAUUAUAAUAUAUAUUAGAAAUUACAAAUUUAGAGUAUAAAUAUAUGUUUAGAAAUAACUUAUAAUAAAUAAUUAAACGUAUUAUUUAAAAUUAAUUAAUAAUGACACAUGAAAUAUGUAUGCUAUUAAAAUAAAAAAAAAUAGAUUAAUUUGUUUAUCAUAGUUGUUAGAGUUUGUGUGACUUGAAUCCUGUCACUUGUUUGACCUCUUGCCCCCAUAGAUUCUCAUUAAGCAUAAAACUAGACUGGGGUUGCUACCAGGAGUGCGUGACUCCCCGCGGUAUGAACCAUGCCGCACAAGUAGAAUAUGUCACAUCCCAAAAACUGGGUUAGAAGAAAUCGCGUUAGUAAAACCAAUAGUGGUUACGUCCUGCUUUUGAGUUAAGGUUGUGGAAAUUCUGUAAAGUGAAUUUUUUUGGUUCAAUGGUUAAGAGAUUGUGUAAUGACUCAAAUUUAAGGUUAUCGGAAUAGUAGUUUCGUAACCACAAAUUCGAUUUAAAGAGAAAUUUAUUUUAAUAUUUUUGCAUGAAUAUUGGUAUGAUAGGAAAACGUAUGAAAAUAUUGAUAGAAAAAUUUUACUGAUUUAGUGGUUAGUUAGAAAAAGAAAUUAUUGAAGAAAUUGGGUAAAAAUAAGGUAUUGAGACCUCAAUCUCGUAAAAAUGAGUCAAAAAUAUUUUUAUAAAUAUUUAUGAAGUGUUAGUAACAUGGUAUUAAAAUUUCGUUAGAAAAUUUUAAUGUUUGGGUAGUCAAUUAAGUGAAAAGGACUAAAUUGAAAGACUUAAAAGUUACUAGAAGGAUUAAAUAGCUCAAUUGUUAAAUGAGGAGGGACAUAAAUUGAAAAUAAGCCCAAAAGGAGAUAUUUUGGGUGGCAUAAGCUGAGAAAAAUCGGGAGAAUUGGAGAAUUAAGGGUAAAAUUAGAAUAUUGCAAAAUUUACUUUAAAAGUUAGGACUAAAGUGGAAUUAUCUAGAUUUCUCUUUAUUUUUCUGCAUUCUCAUCAGCCAAAAACAUUCUAAGGGUUUAUUAAAGCUGGUUUUUCAUAAUUUUUGCACCAAGUGAGUUAAUCCUUUCCUUUUUCUUGUAAUUUUUGUGUUUCUAAGACUUUUACAACUAGGUCCUAUUACUACAUUCAUUAGUUUUUGAUUUUAUGAAUGAAUUUGAAAGUUUCUAUGAAUAUUUUCUGGAAGUUUAUGAUGAAAUAGGAUGAAAUUUAAGCUUUAAUCUGUUUAUGAGAUGAUUUUAUUAGGUAAUUUCAAUAGAAAUUGAUUUGUAGGACCUAAUUGUGAAAAAGUUUGGAAUUAAAGUCUAGUGCUAAAAUUCUGAUUUCCAAAGGUUAUAAAGUAGUUUAAAGUGAUAGAAUAAAGUGUUGAUUGAGAAAAAUCAGCUCAAUUGAGAGGUUAAUUGAGCAGGGAUGAAAUUAACAUUUAUUGAAAGCUUAGGGAAAAAUGGUAAUUAACAUCAUGCACUAAAACAGUUUUGGACAGCAGCAGUAGUCUAACUUUGAAAAAUCACCAAAAAUUUUAUAAAUUUAAUUAGAGGAUGAAUAAAAUAUGAAAUUAAAGCUUAUUGAGUCUAGUUUCUUAUAAAAGAAACUGUGUAAGCAAUGAAAUUGUAAAUCAUGAGAUAUAAUAGAUUUUGUGAGACAAGGUCAGAAUGAAUUCGGGUUCCCCUGUUCUGACUUUGGAAAAUCAUUAAAAAUUGUAAAAAAAUUAUUAUGAGUUAUAAUAUAUAUUCUUAGAAUACUUAAUGAGUCUAUUUUCAAAAAAAAAAACAAGCGAGAACAUCAUCCAAAUUUUUUACAAUGAGAUAAUUAAUUUUUAGUGAAGAGAGGUCGGAACUGUCAAACAGUGAAACAGGGGAAAUUUUAGAGAAUAAACUGUACUUAUUGGCUAAACCAAAAAUUCUGAAAAUUUUAUGGUAAGAAGAUAUGUGAGUCUAGUUUCAGGAAAAAUUAACGGAUCUUAGUUUGGAGUUCCGUAGCUCAAGAUAUAAAUAAUUUAGUGACAUGACUCAGUGAGACAGCUUUGAAUGCACUAUAAAUAAUAAUGAAAUUAUAGAGAAUGUUACAUAUGAACAUGAAAUGUAUUAGAUUAAUGAUUAAAUUUAUUUAUUUAGAUCCAGAAAAUUCAAAUACAAAGAUAGAUCGAGGAAAAGAAAAAGUUCGGGAUUAGUAGAUUUUUGUUUACCAACAAGUAUCGAGGGAAGUUCGUGUAACUUGAAUUAUAUUCUUAAAUGUUUGAAAUGUUUGUUAUUGAUGUGAAAGUGAGUUGAAUGUUUAUUGUAUGAUAAUUGAUGAAGUAUUGAUAUUCUUGAUGAAAAGAGGAAAUAAAUCCCGGUUGAAUGAAGGAAAAAUUUGAUGGAUCUCUGAAAAGGAAUUGACAGUAAAAAGGAUCCAGCCCGGAUGAGUGAUCCUAUCCUGAUAUAGCCCUCCCGAAGAAUAUGUGGAAAAUGGAUUUAGCCCGGACUGGUAAUCCGAAUUAGGGUCUGAAUUUAGCUUGGACUGGUAAUUCAGAUCCAAGCUCAUUAGAGUAAUUGUCGUUGCAGGGGAUUUAGCCUGGACUGGUAAUCUUGACAAUACUCUAUGAGUUUAUAUUACAGGGGAUUUAGCCUGGACUGGUAAUCCCGCUGUAAGGAUGAGGUUCGCGGGAGUGUGCUUUCUGAAAUGGAAAUGUGCUACAUGAAUAUGAAUUGACGGACCUGGAUUUGUACACUUAGGUGUACCCCUAAAAAUCCAUCGAAAUUCCGAGAAGUUCAACGGGAUAAAUAUGGAAAAAUAACAAGGAAAUGGAAAUAAUGAAAUUGAUGAGCUCAUCAAUCAUGAUAUAUAUAUUAUUGAUACAUGAAAAUUAUUGGACUAAUUUGAAUGUUGAGUUUGUGCAUGAUAGGGGAAUAAUGUAUUGAAUGGAUGUAUGAAUGUUUAUUGCAUUGUAUUGAAAAUAUUAAGUAAGUAUAAUUCUUGUUACAUGAGCUUACUAAGCACAAAGUGCUUACCCUGUUUCCUUUUCCCCUAUUUUGUAGUGUUAAGAGCUCAGAGGUCGGAUUUGGUUGGAGACGCAUCACACUAUCAACCUUAAGAUCUCGGUAUAUAAAGAAACUUUAUUUUGGAAAUCAAUGGCAUGUAGAAGCUAGUAAAGUAGAUGUUAAUGUGAAAUGAAUGUAUAGUUAGCCAUUGGUAUGACUAACAGAUUUUGGUUUUGGUAUGUGAUGAGAUUAUCUUAUGAAUAUGAUAAAUCUAUCUUGAAAAUAUAUUGAAAUGGAUUGGUCUCGGUUUAAAAUUUGCAGGGAAGAUUAGAUAUUUAUAAAGGGGUUAUAUUGAGUUUUUUAAAAAAAAUAAUAUUUAUUCGGUAAAAUAUGGUAAUGGCCCAUACUCUAUUUCGGCGACGAAUACGGGUAGGGGGUAUUACAGAUUGUGCUUGUGUGACAGAGGUUCUAGGUUCACAUAUUUUCCCCUUGUAUUUUUUCCAAUUUUGUCUAAACCUUUAGCUUUGGGUAUCUGGCAGGCAUGACCUUGGGGGUUGUCUGGAGGUGCAGCACAUAGGGCCCAAGGCGGAAAGGGGUCCAAAAUAUUAUUUCUCAAUUUUUAAGGGGCCUAAAAAAACUUUUUUUAGCUUUAAAGGGCUCAAAAAUUUUUUAUCAACUUUUAAGGGACCUAAAUUUUUUUCUCUCCAACUUUUAAGGAACCUAAAGCACUAUUUUAUUAUUUUGCCUAGGGCCCCAAAAAUGUCAAGAAUGGGCCUAGUAUCUGGUUUAAGAAAUAUUUGUGUGCAUUUGUUGACAAGAAUGAAUUUGUUAGUCUAAUGGUAAAGUGUUAGUUAACCCUUAGGUCCUAUGUUCGAACCGUUGUGUGCAAAUUCUUGUUUUGAACUUUGGGGAAAAUCUAGUAAGGAUAACUAAUGAAAUUUAGUGGGGUUAUGGGUGGUUUAAUUGAAUUUUUUUAAAAAUGAUUCCCCAAAAACUCUCGCACUUCCUUUCCACGUUCUCACAUUCUUCCCUCCCUCUUUCUCUAUCGUUCCACUUUUAUUAUUUCUGUCAAUUUCUUCUUUCUAUUUGUUUUCCUCUAUUUCUCCCUUUUUUUUUGCCUUCUGUUCUAUUUUGUUUGUUAUAAUAUUAAUGUCAAUUUUUCUUAAGAAUAUUAUUCCAACAAAACAAAAAUAGUUUAUCAAAAUAAGUUUGAAUGGGUUUUUUUUUAAGAAUAAAUCUUCAUUAACAUUUUAACUGAAAUAGUAAAGAGACCAAAUUUUGUUAAAAAAAGUAUAAGAAUUAAAUAUCAAAUUUAUACAUACUAAGGGAUCAAAAACAAAAUAUGGUUGAAGGCUCUCUAUACUUAAAAAUAAACUAUACCAAAUAAAAGUAUUGGGAUUAAAUCUCUUAAGCAUGUUGCACUCACAAGUAGCGAAAGAGAGGAAAAACAAGCUUUCAACUCAAAUGAGAGAAUAUGAUAUUUAUUGAAUUGAUGAAUAAUUUCAAAUGGUUCUAGCCUUUUAUAAGCUUUAUAAUAGCUAAAAUUAGUAACUCAAAGCUAAAAAUAGCAAAGUCGAAUGAGAGAAAAAUCCUCAAUAAUCUCUAAUUUCUAGGGAUUAUUUACCAAAAUAAUCUCAACAAUCCCUCCCUUAAACUGAAAGUACAAUGAACUUUCAGUUUAAUAAAUACUUACUAGCUACUUGAUGUCAAAGACCUAGUAUUUUCCUGAACUUGAUAAAUGAUGCCAACUUGAGAGGCUUAGUAAAUACAUCAUCAACUUAAUUCUCACUUCAGCAAUACUUUAGCUCAAUUGCUCUUUCAUUGCUGAGAUAUGACAGAAAGUAAUAUUUUACAUCAAUAUGCUUGCUUCUUCCAUGCAACACGAGAUUUUUUGACAACUUGAUGGCUGAGUUGUUAUCACAAAAAAAAUAUAGCGGCUUUUUCUGGUUUGAAUUGUAGUUGUUCAAGGAUUCUCCUAAGCCAAAUAGCUUGACAAGCACAAGUUGUAGUGUCAAAAAAUAUGACAAUGGAUUGUUUCUUAGAUGACCAUAAAAUAGCCCCUGUUCCAAGCAUAAAAACAUAACCUAAAAUGAUCAUUCUGUCAUCUUGAUCUCUUGCAUAAUCACUGCCAGUGAAGCCAAUCAUGUUUGACUUUUCACCCUUAUUGUAGAAAAUCCCAAAUCUUUGGUUCCUUAUAAGUAACGAAGUAUUCUCUUAGCAGCUAAUAAAUGUUUUUUGUAACACCUCUUACUCGAGACCGUUGCCGGACUCGAGCACGAGGCAUUACUUAACUUAUCGUACUAAUUCGGAGCAUAAAAAUUUACUUUGCAUAUUAAUUUCACUAUUUACAGCAAAGCUGUCCAAUCGCGUAGCAGUUACUAAAUUAACUAUAACUCAAGCUAAAGAACUCGAAAUUUAACUCCGUAAAUUUUCCCUGAAACUAAAAUCAUAUAUAUAUUUUCCAUAAAAUUUUUAGAAUUUUUGGUUCAGCAAAUUAGUACAUUUUAUUAGUUAAAGUCUCCCUGUUUCACCAUUUGACUGUUCUGACCUCUUGUUACUAAAAAUAAGUUUUCUCAUUAUAGGAUUUUCAUAUUCUAUCCCCACUUGUUCCUACAGAAAAUAGACUCAUUAAGGAAUCUAAUAAUGUAAAUUUCAACUCAUAAACAUUUUUGUACAAUUUUUAAUGAUUUUCUAAACUCAAAACAGGGGACUCUAAAAAACAGUUCUGACCCUAUCUUACUAAAAUUCACAUAUCUUAAAAUAUAAAUUUCCUUUUGCUACACCGUUAUUUUUACAUGAAAAUAGACUCAACAAGAUUUAAUUCCACAUAUCAUUCACCCUCUAAUCCAUUUUAUACCAUCCUAGGUGAUUUUUCAAAGUCACAUCACAGUGCUACCUGAAUUCUGUUUCUUUGCAAAAAUUUAUCCUUUCAUGAUUUCCAUGCAUAAUUUAUCACCUAGACUUUCAUAACAACAAACACCUUCAUACUUAACCCUUUUAAUGAUCAUACAUCAUCAAAUGCUUACACAUCAUUCAUUAGCAAAAUCAUAAUCACAAACAUACAAAAUAACUAAAUCCCUAUACAUGCCAUAACUCAAACGUGUUUCAUCAUAAAAUACCGAGCAAUUGUGGUUGAUAGUGUGGACGAUCUCCGACUUCUUUAGGAUCCUUGAAGUAGCUUGCAAUACUAUACGAGGAAGAGAAAUAAAAGAAGUAAGCAUAAAGCUUAGUAAGUUUACUAGCAAAUAAAUAACAACAUUAAACACAAAUAAUUAAACUCAAGUGUCCAUAUCUCUAGUUUACUUUUUAGUUAAUCUCAUUCUAGUUCUCUUGCUUAUUUACUUGGAAUACUUGUGUACAUAACUUACUCUUCUCUUGCUGCAUCGUUGAAUACCAAUUGAUAAUAUAAUAAGUUUUUAGCUCUUAUAACUUACCUGAGCUUGCCUUUUAUGCUUUAAACUGAACUUUCAUGAACAUGAUUCGUUUAUUAGCCCGUUGAGCUACAUUGGAAUAAUAAGGAUACUCGAGUCUCUUCUGAUAAUAACAUGCCAAAGCCAUGUCCUAGACAUGGUCUUAUAGGGGACCUCUCAUCUCGGUGGACAUGGUCUUACAUGGGACCUCUCAUCUUGGUGCCAAUGCCAUGUCCCAGACAUGGUCUUACAUGAGACCUCUCAUCUCGGUGCCAAUGCCAUGUCCCAGACAUGGUCUUACAUGGGACCUCUUUACCCAAAUGUCAUGACAUUCGUAUCCAGUACCAUCCUUAUGUAUCAACGGGACUUUUUAAUUUUAAUUCUCUAUCAUUUCAUGCUUGGAUCAUCAUCAAAUAAAUUCAUGAAAUAAAUUCAUAGUUUUUGGAAAAUAAUAGCAUUAAUAAUAAAUAUUGAAAUAUUACAUUUAUUUACCGUAAACUUACCUCGGUAUCAAAUAUAGUCCAAUUCAACAACUUAGUCUUCAACUUUAUUCUUCUCUUUGUCUAACCUCGUGUUUCAUUCUUCUUGAUCUAAAAUAGAAAAUUUAACUUAUUUAAUACUCACAUUCAUCAAAACAGCCCUCGACUCUAACUUUUUCAAAAUUACACUUUUUCCCCUAAACUUUUACAUAAUUACAUUUUUCCCCAAGGCUCGGAAAUUAAAAUUUAUCCCUUAUUCUUAUGUUUUAUGACAUGCUGAACAUUUUUACCUUCUAUGACAACAUCAAAUUCCCACUCUAACAUGUACUUAUGAACAUUAGGUAUUUUUACCGAUUAUGUCGUUUUACUCGUUUUCAAUUAAAAUCGCUUAGCAAAAGUUGUUUAACAUAAUUUAUAACUUCAUAUUCUACUAUAAAACAUCAAAAUAAACACUUUUUACCUAUGGGUAUUUUUCCAAAUAAAAACCCUAGGUUAAAUUAUUGCUAAAAUAAGCUAAAUUAAGCUACCGGGAUCUCAAAAACGUAAAGAACAUUGAAAACGGGGCUUGGGAUCACUUACUAUGGAGCUUGGAAGCUUAAAAACCCUAACUAUGGCUUCCCCCCUUGCUGAUUUUGUCCAAAUGAAGAAGAUGAGCAUAAUUUGCCAUCUUUUUCCCUUUUAAUUAUUUUUAUUACUAGAUUACCAAAUUGCCCCUAACUUAAAAAUUUUCUAUUUCACUUAUCUCAUGUCCAUUUUUGUCUACCAAGUUACCAAUGGUCUAAUUACCAUAUAAGGACCUCCAAUUUAAAGUUUCAUAACAAUUGGACACCUCUAACAUGUAGAACUCAACUUUUGCACUUUUUACAAUUUAGUCAUUUUGACUAAAUUGAAUGCCCAAACGUCGAAAUUUUCGAACGAAAUUUUUAUGAAAUCAUUUUGUGAAAUCAUAGACCAUAAAAAUAUAAGAAAAAUAAAAUUUUUCUCAUCGGAUUUGUGGUCCCGAAACCACUGUUCCGAUAACCUUAAAUUUGGGCCAUUACAUUUUUCAACUAGGCUCUCCAUGUACCUGCUAAUAAGACUCAUAAAAUACAUAAUGUUUGGCCUCGUAGUAGUUAGACACAUCAAACUACCUACAAUUUGCUUGUAAAGUAUGUUAUCCAUAUUUUUUAGUAAGUUUUAAGCCAAACUCAUUGCAGUAUUGGAAGAGUUAUAAUUCGUCAACUUGAAUUUGUCCAAAAUCUCUCUGACAUACUUUUUCUCUUCCUUCAAGUAUCCAUGUAAGAAUGUCGACUUAAAAUCUAACUAGAAGAUUGAUGAAGAGUUCUGCGCUACUAAAGCAAUCACCAAUCUGAUGGUGUUAUGUCUUGCAACUAAGGCAAAAACUUUUGUGUAGUCCACACCAUACUCUUGUUUGUACCCCUUAGCUGCUAAUUGCGUAUUGCACUUCUCAACCUCCCUAUUUUCCUUCAACUUUGUCUUGUAGAUCCACUUGACACCAAUGGUUUUGUGCCCCUCAAGAAGAUCAGUCAUCUUCUAAGUAUCAUUCCUUUUAAUGGCUUCGAUUUUAGCAUCCAUUGCCUCUUUCCAUUUUACCUCAUUGGCAACAUUUUCAAAACUUAUUGGGCCACAAUUUGUAAAUAAUACAAAUUGAGAAAUUGCAUUAUCAUUUUCUCUAAUUUUGGUUACGUCAUAAUGUUACAUCCAUGCUAGCCUUCUUCGAACAUGACGAAGUGCUUCAGCUAUUGUACUAGUUUCUUCUUCAUGUGUAAACAAUACUUUAGUGGCUAAUGGAGAAGUAUUCUUGAGCAUUUCUUUAGCUUUAUUAUCACAAAGAACUUAAGUAGGUUGUGCUUCAUCCCAAUCCCAAGUGUUCUCUUCAUGAAACACAACUCUCGACUAAUCACAACAUUCUUUGUCACAGGAUUGAACAAUUUGUAUGCCUUUAAUUUGAUUUUUCAAUAAUACCAAGAAAGACACAUCAACAAGCUUCUUUUAUUUCUCCUCUAAGACAUGUGCUUAGGUAAUGCACUUAAAAAUUUUGAAAUGAUCUACCACUGGUCUCCUUCCACUCUAAGCCUUCUCCGGAGUCACAUCUCGAAGAGCAUUAGUAGGGCUCCUAUUCAAGAUGUAGAUGUUCCAAUUUAUAGCUUUUGACCAGUACACCUUUGAAAUUCUCCUUCUUGCUAGUAGGCUUCGAACCAUGUAGAGAAUGGUUCAAUUUUUCCUCUCUGAUACAUCAUUUUUUGUGGUGUAUAAGCAGUUGUGAGCUCUCUUUGGAUGCUGUAAACAUCACAAGUCUUCAAACUCCUUAGAGGAAUAUUCACCACCACAACUAGUUCAAAGAGCUUGAAUGGUUCUUCUUUUCUUAUUUCCUACACCAGCUUUGAAGCUUUUAAAUGCAUUAAAAGCCUUUGAUUUUUCUUGUAAAGGUAAACCCAUGUCUUACAAGAAUAAUAAUCAAUAAAGGUAAUAAAAUUCCAUUAGAAAUUGGAUUUAUUGGCCCACAAAUGUCUGAAUACACCAACUCCAAUACCUCUUUUGCUUUUCAUGACUUACCUUUGGGAAAUUGAGAUUGAUGUGGUUUACUAGCAACAAAUUCUUCACAAACUAGGGAAGGAAAAAUAAUUGGAGGAAGACUAGUCACCAUAUUUUUAUUUUUAAGUAUCUUCAAACCACCAAAGUUUAAAUGACCAUAGCAAAAAUACCACAACCAAGAAGGAUAUUUAACUUUUGCUAUUAAACAAGAUUGAGCAACCUCAAUCUUCAAUGGAAACAACCUAUUUUGACUUAUUUCCAUAAUAGCAACAACUGUUCUAGAUGGAUCAGAAAUCUCACAAGCACCAUUCCUGAAAUUAUCAACAUACCCUUUUUCCAACAGUGGCAUCAAAGCCAAGCUUGUUAUUGUUAGCUUGGAAAAGCUUUCACCUAUGACCUUGGAAAGUAGUCUUGUUCAAGUAGUUAUUCCUUGUUUUGAUGAUCACUAUGACCAUUGGAGUAUGCUAAUGGAGAAUUUCCUAUGGUCAAAGAAGUAUUGGCCAAUGGUUAGGGCAGGUAUCAAAGAGUCUGCAGAAGGAGAAACUUUGACGAAUGCCCAGAAAGUAAGGUUCGAAGCAAGAAAGCUGAAAGAUUUGAAGGUGAAAAAUCAUCUCUUUCAAGCUAUUGAUUGUCUCAUCUUGAAAACUGUUCUUUGCAAAAAAAAAACUUCCAAGGAUAUAUGAGAUUCCAUGAAGAAAAAGUAUCAAGGCUCUGCCAGAGUGAAGUAAUGACAUCUUCAAGCCUUGAGGAGGGACUUCGAGACUCUAUAGAUAAAGGAAAGGGAAUCUAUCACUGGCAAUUAUGUUAGAACCAUGGAGAUUUGUAAUAGGAUGCAAUUCUAUGAUGAGAAGAUGGAGGGUGCCACCAUAGUGGAGAAGAUUUUGCGCUCCAUGAUGCCGAAGUUUGAUCAUGUUGUUUGCAUCAUUGAAGAGUCAAAAGACAUAGAUGAAUUGUCUCUUGAUGAGUUGCAAAACUCUUUAUUUGUGCAUGAGCAGAAGAUGAAUUGUACUUUAGCCUUCAAGGAAUAAACUUUGAAGGCUUUUACUUUUUUUUUCAAUUUUAGAGGAAUGGGUAAAGGUAGAGGUAUAUAUUGGGAAAUGUGCCUAUAGUUUAGUAAACAUGUAACUAUUUUCUAUUUAUUUAAACGGUGAAUUAAUAAAUAAAAUUAAUUUCACAUUUCACUAUUAUGUCUUUUGUAUUUUCUGUCUUUUAUAUUUACAAUACAUAGCAAAAUUGUGACAAGCAAAUAUUAGCUCAUUGAUUGUCUAAAGUUCAAACUGAAGAUAAGUGACAUUGUAAAGAACAUUUACAUUGUGGGAAAGACAACUUAUUUUAGUAGAUAAUCUAAAUGAGUCCGUAAUCUCGUAAAAGAAUCAAAGUGAGCAUUUGAUUCAAAUAGUGAGAAGGAUUAUCAUGUCAUCUACAAUUCUAAUUAGGGAGAUGGCUAGUCUUGGCUAUCGGAGUAGUUGACUCUAUUAGUAGAGAAAUAUAUGUAUUCAUUGGUAGAAUGAUACAUUGGAUUGGACCCAAUAUGAAUUAAUUCACUUUUGACGUUCAUGGUGUGGUUUAUCCAAAUAUUGAGUUAGUCACUGACCAUGCGUAUGCAACCCAUGUGCUUUGAUAUAAGUGGAGGCUUAUGCUCUAAAGAUGAUCGAGCCCAUAGUCGGUAUGUUGGGUACAUAACUUGUGUAUGGCAUGAUUUUACUAGCAACAAUGGAAUUCAUAGCUCAAUUAAAGAGUUAAUGAUAUCCUCUCAUUGGUAUUGUGUGGAUUGAUAAAUAUAGAACGUGGCCACGGGUUGCUUGUUCUUGAAAGAGUAAUUUAUCACAGUCAUUUGUUGACAGUGAUCGUAUUAAUCAUUAAGGAGACACAAUAGUGAUAAUGAGAUAAAAUAAGAUUGUAUUGAGUGAACGGAUUUAAGUCAAAGGAAUCAAGGAUAUCAUAUGAGGGUAACACACACAUGAUGAGGUCAUUGGACAAAGCAGUUGGGUGAAUUGCUUUCUUAAAGAGUAUACAAUAAUGAGUUUUCAAUCAUGGCACUUCUUAUGGACUGACUCUUGAUUAAGUAAUUGCGAAUUAUUGUAAUGAUGCUUUUAGACAUAAUUACAAUCACUAGAGCCUAAUUGUAUAUGUUCAAUUAGUCCAUCCGUUAGCUCAACAAAAGCUUGAUCGUACUGCAUUUGAAUCAGAAGAAAAUUCUACGACUUUGGAAAUAAUUUAAUUGAGUCAAUUUAUUCGAUAUGGAAUUAAAUUAGGUAGUCGCGAGAAUUGUUUAACUAGAGAAUUUGGUUAAAUAAUUUUCUUAAAAAAUUAAUUUGGAAAAUCUAAGUGAUUUUUAGGAAAAUUAAUUUUGAUCAAGUAAAAUUAAAUUGAUCAAAUUAAUUAAAAUUAAUAUAAUAUUUUUGGAAAUUAAUUUUCAAGUAAGACAAUUGGUCCAAUGGGUAAUUGAACUUUAAAAUUGGACCUGAGAUCAUAAGCGUGAGAGCCCAAAACCAAGACUAAGACCCAAAAACUGGUCGAAUCGGGCUCGGUAUGUGAAACCGGGUCGACGGUCCAAUUGGUGACUAGAUUGAAUUGGUCGGGUUGUCAUUGACCCGGACCAAACCGGCUCAGGGUGCCGUAAGGGUGUCGCACCUGCAUCACUGGACAUAUCGGUGUUGGUGGCUGCGACGACGGCGUCCUGGUGACUGCUGGAGGUUGGUCAUCGGUGAUUGAGUUGUGGAAGAGUUACACUCCUACUGGGACUCUACCAGAGAAUUUAAUUUCAAAUUAACUACUUAAAAAAUAAUAUUAUUUUAAUAGUUUAACAUUAAAUUUAAUUUAAUAAUUAUCUUAAUAGUAUUUUAUUAAUUUAAUAUUAAAAUGAUUAUGCUAAUAUUAAAUUUAAUUUAAUGUUUAUCUUGUAGAUAAAUAUUCUAUUAUUUUAAUAAGAUUUAAUAUUAAAUUUAAUCUAAUAUUUAUCCUGGUAAUUAUUAUAUUAUAUUAAUUUAAUAUCAAAGUGAUUAAGUUUAAUCAUAGUUGAACUCUCUAAACUCUCCCUAUAUAAAGAGAUCAUUGAGUCAUUAUUUACACACCCUUGAGUUCAAGAGAAAGUUGUAGAGAGAAUUUUCUGAAGAGAUUAUUUAAAAAUAUUUCUAGAGAUAUUUUUUUGAUUUAUAACUUGACCCAAAAGUUUAGAGAGAUUGUAAAAUUACCCCACUGGUAAUUUUUGUGAAAAAUUUUCUAAUUCGAAGCGAGCUCACACUUGGCAAACGUGAGCUUGAAGAUUGCGGAGAAGACUACUCGGUCGAAGCGCUAAUCUUAGACGAAUAAAAAUAAAUAGUUUUGAUUAAGUGUUUAUUAUUUUAGAUAUCAUAACCUAAAUUUAUUUUCGUCUGCGUUUUCUCAACCUAUUUUUCCAACAAUAUAAGGAGAAGUUUGAGGUAAUAUAAAUGGUGGCAACAGAAAUGGUAGCAAGAAUUACGAAAUCAAUGAGGACCAAAGUAAGGAUAAAUGACGAGGUUUUGAUAAAUCUAAAAUAAAAUGCUUCAUGAGGUAAAAAUUUGGUCAUUAUCAUUUUGAAUGUUAUUCUAGGCUACUAAAUGAUAAGGAUGAAGAAUCACAUUGAAAAGGAAGCUGAGCCAAAUGUAUAAUAUGUGGAUAUAGGUUGUAGUAUUUUUUUCGUAUUUAAAUGAUAAUUUUCGUUGUAGAAUCACCUUUGGUGAUUAUUGUACUGUGGAUUUCAUAAUUAAAAUUGCACGUGAAAUUUGACGUUUCCUAAAAACCUUAAUUGUUUUUGAAGACUUUUGUUACUAUACCCCGAUCCUUAUAAGAUCCAUCACCGUGAAAUGACAAAAAGUAAUUCAAUGCACAUUAAUUGUGCCAGCGGCUCCAAGCCCAUUGAUUUCACUAUACAUUCCAUGCUUUUAGGUUAACCAUCUUCACACAAUCAAAUCAAGCUAGUUAGCAAUGGCUUCCACUACCAAUUCCCCAUCAACCCUCCUCACCCUUCCUAAUUUCUCCAUUCAAACUUCAACAUUCCUUCCCAAAACAUCUCAACGUUCCAUAUUUAAGAAGAAAAAGCCUUUCAACUUUAACUCCAAAAGAGUAGUGUCAUGCAAAGCCAGCAAUGGGAAACAAAACGAUGCAGAUCACACUUCUUUUCUCAAUAGGUUCGAUAGAAGGGACAUCCUUCUUGGCCUUGGAGGAAGUCUCUACGGUGCAACCAGCCUUGUUAGAGACCCAUUUGCAUUGGCAGGCGACGCAAUCAAGCCUGACCUGUCCAGCUGUGGGGAAUCAACCGUAGAUACCGGUAAAAACUGCCUGAAUGUCCCUUGCUGCCCACCAAAGUUAAAAGGUUCGAAGAUCAUAGACUUCGAACCACCUUUAGGUUGCAAGAUCCGUUAUCGGCCGGCAGCACAUUUAGUUGAUCGUGAUUACCUGUAUAAAUUUGAAUCGGCAAUGGAGAGAAUGAAAGCUCUCCCUGUGGAUGAUCCACGUAAUUUCAUGCAACAAGCCAAUAUUCAUUGUGCCAAUUGCAAUGGGGCUUAUAGUCAAGUGGGGUUCCCCGAUCAAAAACUUGAAGUUCACUACUCGUGGCUUUUUUUCCCAUUCCAUAGGAUGUAUCUGUAUUUCUUCGAGAGGAUAUUGGGCAAGUUGAUUGAUGAUCCAGAUUUCGCAAUGCCAUUUUGGAACUGGGAUUCUCCCUGUGGGAUGACUAUGCCUCAGAUAUAUUUAGACCCUUACUCUCCAUUGUACGAUGAAAACCGCAAUUUGAAGCAUCAGCCGGACGUUUUGGUUAAUCUUAAUGACGGUAAACCUGUUGUAAAAAAAAAAAAAUGAAAAAGAAGAAGAAGAAGAAGAAGAAGAUAGUUUUGAUAAAUUAACAAAGAGGAAACAAAUAAAGAGUAAUCUCUAUGUGAUGUAUCAGCAAAUGGUACGGUCCGCCAAGACCGCUUCUUGUUUCCAUGGAGCGGCGUACCUUGGCGGUUGUGAAUCGGAAACCGAUAUCAGUUGUACUCCCGAACCGAGAGGUGGUACCAUUGAGAACGGUGCUCACAUCGCCGUUCACAAGUUCGUUGGUGCCGAGAAUCCACCUUAUAACGAAGACAUGGGGAGUUUCUAUUCUGCUGGUAGAGACCCUUUGUUCUACGCUCAUCAUGGCAAUGUUGAUCGAAUGUGGAACAUUUGGAAGACAUUGCCAGGGAAGAAGCGACGUGAUUUCGACGAAGAUGUUUGGCUCAAUUCUUCGUUUCUUUUCUACGAUGAGAAUGCAAAUAUGGUUCGCGUUAAAGUUCGCGAUUGCCUUGACUCUAAAACUUUGGGGUACGAUUACCAAAGUGUUGAUAUUCCAUGGCUUAGAAGCAAGCCAACACCUCGAAGGAGUCGUCCUGGUGUGGGAAGGGAUCAGGAUCAGGGUCAGGAUGUAGCAGCCAGACGAAAGAGUAAAAACUUCAGGCGUUUUCCAAUAGUUUUAGACAAGGUGGCCGUACGCAUUGAGAUUCCAAGGCCAAAUAAGGAACUAAGAAUAAAGAAAAAAGAUGAAGAAGAAGUAUUGGUUCUUCAAAACAUACAGCUAGACAGAAAUGACUCAGUGCAUUUCGAUGUCUCCAUUAAUGACGAUGAAGACGACGACAACCCUUGCAAACCGGAAGAUGCGCAGUUCGUGGGGAGCUUUUCGAGUUUACCGCGCGGAGAUAGUUGCCACUCCGAGGCGAUGCUUAGUACAAAUCUGUAUUUGGCAUUAUCAGAUGCGCUGGAGGCUUUGAAGAUUCAAUUUGAAGAUACCAUUGUGGUGACUUUGGUGCCUAAAGAAGGGGAAGUUUCGAUUGGUAACAUUAAGAUCGACUACGUUUGUUGAUUUGGGGGUGAAUAUUUUGCUUCAUCCUUUGUGUUCUCGCUAGAUCGGAUUGAUGGGGUUCAUCAAUUUGUUUCUCGCAUGUGUCUUUUUUUUUUUUUAAUAAAAAUAUCAAGCUAAAUGAACAAAAGCAGCGGCAGCUUUAUCUUGCUCAAGAAGAUAAUCAACUCCCUAAAGGCGCCUGAUAUUUUCUGCAUAUCAUCAAUUCAAACAGGAGAUAUUUUAGUUAACCGAGUAACCACUUGAUUUCUUUAACUAUCCAAGACUUCUUGCACUGUAAAUAGCUCUGAAUGCUUCCAAGUAAUCUGUCUAAAUUAAAGCUUUGACAUAUAUAACAAGAGUAACUCGUCCGAGAUACUCUAGAAUUCAACAUUAAAGACUGAAUAAAUAUCUAAAUUAUGAUUGAACCCGACAAUUUAAUCUUGCCAAUUUUUAUUAUUAAAUUUUACCAUUUACUUUUUGUAUUAUUUAUAAAUUUUAAGUCCAGCUUUAUAAAAAAAUAUCAUUUUAGUUCUUCAUUUAAUUUUAUCUCUUUUUAACCCUUAAACUUAUGUUGUUUGUCAAAUUGUCUCAAAAUAAAUAAAAUAAAUUAAUAUCUAUUAACUUACUCUAGAAUUCAACAUUAAAGACUGAAUAAAUAUCUAAAUUAUGAUUGAACCCGACAAUUUAAUCUUGCCAAUUUUUAUUAUUAAAUUUUACCAUUUACUUUUUGUAUUAUUUAUAAAUUUUAAGUCCAGCUUUAUAAAAAAAUAUCAUUUUAGUUCUUCAUUUAAUUUUAUCUCUUUUUAACCCUUAAACUUAUGUUGUUUGUCAAAUUGUCCCAAAAUAAAUAAAAUAAAUUAAUAUCUAUUAACUUUGUUGACACAUCCACGUGUAUGCCACAUCAACAUUUACUUAAUUCUUUUUACAAAAUUAAAAAAAUUCUGAAACAUUAAAAAAGCUUUAAAAUUAUAAAAAAUUUAAAAAUUAUAAGUUUUAUUUAAUAAUAAAAUUAUAAUAAUAUUCUAUACAUUUUAGAAUUUUUAAAAAUUUUAAUCAGUUAUUAACGUGACAUACACGUGGAAUGCCACAUAAACAAAAUUAUUAAGCGUUAAUUUUUCUAUUCAUUAUAAAGUGCUUUGACAAAAAAACGCUAGUUUAACGGUUAAAAGUGGCGAAGAUUAUAUGAAGGGUUAAAAUGAUUUUUUUUAUAAAAUUGAAGGACUAAAUAAGUCAUUAUGCCUAAAUUUUAUCAUAUUUAUAAAUAAAAUUUUAAUUUUACUAAAAUAUUUGAUUAAAUAUAUUUACUUUAUAAAAAAAUUGUCAUACUUUUAUAAGAAUUUCGAGUCAAUUAAAAUACUUUUAUUAAAUGAAUUUAUAUAAUAAUAAAUAAAUUUAAAUUUUAUAUUGAAUUAAUUUAUAUUAAAUUAUUAUGUUUUCAUUAACCCAAAAAAGUUAUAUUACUUAUUUUUAAAUGAAUUUUUUAAUUAUUUAUAUGAUAGGUAGCUUUAUAUUUUACAUGCAAUAUUUUAUAAAGAAUACAUUUAUAUAAUCUAAUCUAAUAGAUUAUAAUUAUAUGAAGGCUUGAUUCGCAAAUUGGUACCUAAGUUAUGUUAUUUUUUCCAUCUUGGUAUCUAAACUUUUUUUUUUUUGUUAUCAGUCAUCCUUAAGCUAUUUUUUCCCCAAAUUGGUAUAUCUGUUAGUUAACCCAUUAAGUCUAUUUAAAAAAAAAGUUCAACCCACAAAUUAGUACCUCAGCAGUACUCUUUUUCUCAAAUUGGUACCUAAUUUUUUUAUCAUAAGUGAUACCUAAACUAUUCUUCCAUCACCAUUUUACACCAAAAUAUUAUAUUCGUUAAAAAAAUUACAACCAAUUAUAGAUUGUCACUUCAUAUAAACUUUUAAUUUUUUUAACUUUUAUUUAUUUAUUUUACAUUAAUUCUGUCUUUAUAUAUUUUAUUUAUUUAUUUUUCUUCCUUUAUAAUGCCUAGUAAUACCAACAAUACUUAAAAUUGAUUCGCUCGAGGUUGAGACACCGGUGAUUAAUUCUGUUUUGAAAUUUCACCAUGUUGAUUAAACCUUAUAUGAAUUAUAUUUAAUUUGAGUUGGAAUCACAAUAAAUAAUUAUAUAUAUUUAUGCAAGAAAUUAAGAAUUUUAUAUAGUUCAUGAAUAAUAUAUAAUUCAUAUAAGGCUUAAUCCAACAUUCACCCUUCGGCAUUUCCGGCAUACCAACAUCUACACCAUAUCAUCAGUGGGCAGCCCAAUCACUGACUUCUGUCGACGAACAGGCUUACACUCCGCUGCAAACAAUCCCAUCCACUCCAAGCGGCCAUAAAUCAACCCCAACAAUCGCCCCACACCAUCCUUGAACACCCCACUCCAUCCCCCAAGCCUUUCUUCACUCUGAAUACAAUACAUAAAAUAAAAAUGAAGAGACGACUCUCCCAUCUGCAAGGAAAGGAUGUUGCCCCCUUUCAACCAACCAUUCUCAAACCAUGGUUCAUGCCACCAACCAAGCUCACUUACCACCAAUAAUGGCUCUAAUCCAACAAACAGAUCGCAUUUUGCAAAGGAAAAUGAUCUCUUCAGCAAUCCACUCUUUUCCAUUAAGUAUUAAUUCAUUCCUAGCUAGCCACAAUGACCAUAACAUAGCGCCACAAGCAACAAGCCACUUCCUCUUAACAUUCGAUCUUCCAAACAUGCAGCAACGUACACAAAAUCACUGACAUUCCAAGGAAUCACCCACAUAACACCCCACCAUUGAAAAACAGUCCCUAAGCUUUCCAAGAGGAAGAACGAAAGAAAAAAAUUAUCACAAUUCUCUUCAGCAUCAUUGCACCAAGAACAAUUAACACAACCAUUAACUGUUGGAAAUACCUCGAUCCCUUAAAAAUGCAUUUUGAAGGUAUACCAUUUUGGAGUAACAGCCAUAGGAAGCAUUGCACCUUUGUUGGAACGCAUAGCUUCCAAAUGAAAGAAAACCACACCUUUUGAUGCGCCAAAGAACCUCACAAUCAAGAGAAAACACAACUUUCUUCACAGUACAUUUCCCUUUGCUGUCCACCUCCCACAUCAACUGAUCUGCCUUGUUCUCAUUUAAAGAGACCCAUUUGAAAAUCUGCCACAACUCCAUCGCAGACCCCCUCUCCUGUUCAAACAAAUCUCUUUUGAAAAAUCUUUCAUCCUUGUGAAGACCAUCCCAAGCCUCGUCCACCGUGAUAUUUUUCUUCAAAGCCAAGAAGAAAGUCUGGGGAAUCUGUCUUUCAAAGCACACAGUCCAACCCAAUGAUCCAUCCAAAAUGAAACUGAUCUCCCACUGCCGAGGCGCCAUAUAAAGCUUCCUUCACCUAACAUUUUGUCCAUCCCUUCGUGUCUUCUAACUUCCACAACAUUGGGAAUUCACCACAUUGGGCCUCCAACGAUAGUUGCUAAUACCAUAUUUUUCGUCCCUAUUAUUGAUGUGGUGAUUGUCAAUUUAAUUCUUACACAUUAAAAGUACAUAAAAAUAUUUUUAAAAAAUUAAAAAUUAAAAAUUAAAAAUUAAAUUUUUUUCUUAUUUCCAAUAAAAAAUUGUAAAAGGUUUACUAAAAAUUAUGAAAUGCAUUAUUUAAAAUUUAAAAUUAAAUAAAAAAUUCAAAAAAAUAUAAAUUAUUUCAAAAAUUCAAAAAAAAAAAGUAAUAAAGUCUAGAGUUAUCCAUAAAUUGGUUUGGACAAAGGUUUUAUGUCUCAAGCUGAGACCAAACCAAAAUAGAAUUUAAGUAAUCUAAAUAUUUUUAAAUUUAAAUUUAUUACAAAAAUUAAUAUAAAAUAUAUGUUUAAUAUUUUAUUAUUUUAAACAAUAAAACAAGUUUUUUUAGACGAGCUAAACCAAAAAAAAGCUUAACUGCAAGACCUGACCAGGCCUAAUAAGAAGCUUCAAUCUUCUAUGGAUGACGACUCAACGGUUAGUAUUAUUGUGAAGGAUAUUAAGGCAAAAAGCAAUAGGUCUGAGAACUUAACUUUUCGAUUUGUACCGUGUCGAUUUAACAACUCCGCACAUGUGCUCGUUAGUAUAGGCUAGUCAUAUUCUUGUUCCACGGACUAGAUGGAGGAAACCUCGGUGGCUGUCGAAAACGCUGCGUGUUAAUAUCUAUGGUGAGUUUUCAAUAAAUUGAACAAGAACUAUAUUGAAUAUGAAGAGAAUGUAUUAAACAAGAAAGAACUCUUUUGUAUUUAGACUAUUAGCUUGAUAUGUAUAUUGCAAUCAUGGUAUUUAUAGAACAUAUGAUUAUCUGUUACUACUUAACAACUUAACUAUUUUGAAUAACAAACUAACAGUUAGGCUAGAUGAAUAACACUCUUAACAUUCACCUAUCUUCUCGACAGGUAAAACUCGGAGAAGAUCUCGAAAUCUAGCAAAAGACGAUAUAAAGAGUGGCUUGGUAAGAAUAUCAACAACCUGUUCACAGGCAGGAACGUCACCAACAAUAAUAGAUCCAUCUGCUACUUUCUCACGAACGAAAAAUAGAUCGAGCUCAAUAUGUUUGAAUUUCGAAUGUAAGACAGGAUUAGCAGCUACAACAACAACACUAGAAUUGUCACACCAAAUGGUAGGGGGAUCAAUAUUGUGAAGAUGUAACUCUUUUAGUAACGAAACUAACCAAGUAACAUCACUGGUAGCUGCAGUAAGACUCCGAUAUUCAGCCUCAGUCGUAGACCAUGAAACUGCCUAUUGUUUCUUGAAACACCAUGAGAUAGGUGUGUAACCAAAAUACACACAAAUAUCACAGGAUUCGUUUUGAAACAACCAUAUAAACAGUAGCGGGCGCAUGCAUGAACUGGCAAACACAAUUCACAGCAUUAGCAAUAUCAGGACGAGUCAAGACCACAUACUGUAAAGUACUUAGAAGACUUUUGUACUCAGUAGGGUCAUCAAGACAAUCUCCGUCAUUCUUGGACAAAGUAGACUAGCUAAUCAUUGGAGUAUGAACACUUUUUGCAUGAGUCAUAAAACUCCUAUCAAGUAAAUCGUGAAUGCACUUCCUCUGACAAAGAUGAAGGCACCCUGUGGAGGAACGAGUGACCUCAAUCCCUAAAAAAUAGUGUAGAUCUCUCAUAUCUUUAAGUGAGAAUUUGUCAUUUAACUGCUUAACAAAGCUAUUUAUACAAUCAGACAUACUGCCAGUAAUGAUAAUGUCAUCCACGUAGACAAGCACAUAAAGGAUGGAGUUAGUCGUAACUUUAACAAACAAAGAUGCAUUAGAUUUGGACAUAGUAAAGCCAACAGAAAGAAGAUAACACUUCAGUUUAUCAAACCAAGCACGCGGAGCUUGACGAAGCCCAUAUAAAGCUUUCUUCAGACGACAGACUAAAGGCCUGCCAGUUGAGCCAUAUUGAACAUACCCUGGAGGUUGUUGUAUGAAUACCUCGUCAACAAGAUCACCAUUCAAAAAUGCAUUAUUCACAUCUACCUGACGGAGUUGCCAUCACUAGAAACAACAACAGAUAAAAUGACACGAGUAGUAGCAGGUUUUAUCACGGACUGAACGUUUCUUUGAAAUCAUACCCAGGCACUUGAGAACACCCUUUAGCUACUAAGCGAGCCUUUCGACGGCCAAUUGUACCAUAAUGAUUUUUCUUAACUUUGAAAAACCAUUUACAUCCAAUUGCCUUAUGAUUAGAUGGUAAUUGAACAAGAUCGCAGGUGAAAUUAUUGAUGAGAGCAUCAUAUUCUGCCUGAGCCGCAGCUCGCCAUUCUAUGGUGGAAAGGCUUCUUCAACCAUGAGGUCUAAGAACUUCAACUGACAAUGCCUUAGGCUUAAAAAUGUCAGCCUUAGACCGAAUAACCAUCGGAUGAGUAUUUGCUGGAGGCAAAGAUGAUGACGAUGGAGAGAAAGAAGUAUUAGCAAUAGGUACAACAGCAGACGGAGUAUCAGCAUUAUUGUGUAAAGAAUGUGGCUUAUCUACCUCAACCUGAGGAUUGGUAGAGACAGAUGGCGAAAGGAAAAAACCAAGAGGUGAAGAUGAUACACGUGGUAGAACAGAUGAAGACUCCAAAUGCUGAGAAGGAACGUUGACUUAGUACCAGACGAAGCCAUGAAAUCCCUUGUAGCAGGUAAAGGAGCCAAGAACCUUUGUUCAUUAAACAUAACAUGACGAGAAAUAACAACCGUACCAUCCAGCAUAAGACAUUGAUAACCUUUGUGUUGGGAGCGAUAUCCCAAGAAUGUACAAGAUUGAGAAUGAAAAUCCAACUUAUGAGACAAAAAUGGUCGUAAGUACAGAAAACAACAACACCCAAAUACUGUCGAUGAUCAUACGUGGGAUCUUGUCCAUAAAGAGCCUUAUAAGGAGUCUGGCCAUGCAGAACUGAGGUAGGGAGACGAUUGAUGAGAUGAACAGCACAACAAAAUGCACAACGCUAAUAUUUCAUAGAAAGAUUCGCUUGAGCCAAAAGUGUAAUACCCAUUUCAACAAUAUGCGGAUGUUUGCGUUCAGCCGCCUCAUUCUGUUCAAAACUAUGUGGACAAGACAACCGAUGAACUAUCCCUUAAGUUGUUAGAAUAGACGUGAAAGUGCGAAAUUCGCCACCCCAAUCACUCUAAAAUUGUUUGGUAUUUUUCCCGUAUUGAGUUUUGACAAGCUGCUGAAACUGAGCAAAACAAUCGACUGCUUGAGACUUUUGGCGAAUAAGAUAAAUCCACGUAAAUCGAGUGCACAUCUCAACAAAGGACACAUAAUACCAAUUAUGACCACAUGCAACUGAUGCAGGCCCCCAUAGAUUAGAAACAACCAAAGCAAACGGUUCACUAUAGCUUCAUCCAGUCUGAGAGGUUGACUGGUUUCAAAAUAGGAACAGCUAUUCCGUGUCCACUAAAGUAGAAGAACAGGACAUCUCCUGGUCUAGCAGUGUGUACCAUUUCAUAAAGUGCAGCCUUGAUUUUUAUACCCGUAGGCAUAGCCAAUGAGUCUGGUAUAUAAUUGUCAAUCAAAGUUAAACCUUCUCAUAAUCAACCUUCUUAUGUUCUCCACAUCAUUUAUGCAUCCUUUCAGGUUGUAAGGGGUCUUUGGGUAAUUACAACCCACAAGAACAGCUUUCUUUUUAUGCACCAGCUUGUUAAUCAUGGGUAAGGCUAAGGGUGUUGGAAUGGUGGCCAGGAAAGCUGUACCGACAUUCUUAUCACUGCAAUAAAGGCAUAAGGGUGUUGCUCGUGAAAUCCAAGGCUGGUUAUUUCAUCCCUAGCAUUCAUCACAAGCUGUUUAUUAGUUAAUGUACCAUUGGUCUCGUUGAUAAUCUUUUGAAGUGAAUAUAUAAGGCCCCAUACGCCUUUCCUUGGGUUUUGUCACUCGGUUCCAAAUCAAGGGAUAGCUCAUCGGCUUGGCACCCACUCAAUAGAAUCCCCUCAUCCUCCGUUAAUGACCUUGGCUCCUGAGAGGGUUGGAAUUUUAAACUGACGUUGUCUCGAAAGAUUCCGGUCAAAAGAUGGCCAAUGUUGCUGACAAUAUCUAAUCCAGUGCUGAAGGCAACUGUUGUGCCCAAUACGUCUGAUGCGGCGUUUAUGACGUUGGCUGCUGGGCGUCAACAGAUGGCCUUGGUGUAUUGAUUCAAGUGAAAUUCCCCGCUUCUGGGUGUCAACAGAUUGUGCUAUACUCCUUAGAGUACUAUGGGGUCCAAUUUGUUCUUUCUCUUUGACAAUAAGACCACCGCUGUGGCACGAAUCUGAAACGAUUGUGAAGCUUGUUUCUUUUGGCAGCUGCUGAAUCAAGAGCCUGAUGUCCACAUCUGCACUGCCAUGUUUAAUUAUACUGAUUUAAAUUGCAAGAGCUAAAUAAGUUAGCUUAAUAAAUAUAUUUUAUAUUUAUAAAAAAAUGAUAUGAUUAAUAAAGGAAAAUAUGUAGUUGACGAGUUGUGAUCCCAUUUUGGAAUCAUGGAUUCAUGAUCAACAUUAAUAUAUUUUUUAAAAAUUUAAUUAUUAUUUUUUAAGAUUUAAAGUUGUAUUUAUAUUUUGACAUUUAAGGUUGAAUUUUCGAUUUGUUGAAUUUGGGUUUCGAAAACUAUGAAAUUGUGGGUUCAAACCCUACUAUGUGUACUAUAUUUCUAUUUUUUAUUCAUAAAAAGAAUAAAAAUGACAAAAAAAAUUUCUUUAAAUUAAUAUAAUUUACUUUAUAAAAUAAAAUUAUUGUGCAAAUUCCACUAUAAGACACCACUAAUUAGGAAGAAUAAAAAACCUACCAUAAAUGAGAUUGAGAUCACAAGGCACGAUCGCAUCAUCCUUCUGGCCUGGUUUCAUGUCUGCCUCAACUCCAUGUCCACUCAAGAGGAAUAAUAGGACAUCUCCUUCUUUAGCCUCUUUCACCAUUUUUGCAAGUCCAGCCAUAAUUUUAGGCACAUUUGAUAAGUUCGGUCUUGACCCGGCCCCAAAAAUUGGUCUAAAAUUUAACCUAAGCUCGACCUGAAUAAAAAUGCUAACACCUGAACCUAGCCCGACCUGCCCGUAUUAAAAAUUUUUACAUUAUUUUUUAAAAUAUAUAUAAAACACUCAAAACAUUCAAAUAAAUGUUUCCCAACAACUUGAAAAUAAAAUUUAAAAAGUAUUUAUACUUAAAUAACACUAGCAUAGGUGCAACUUAACUAAUAAAUAUUACUAAAAUAAUAACAAAAUUAACAAUAAAAUAAGAGUUAUAUAAUAUCCAAACAAUAAUAGCAAAAAUGUAGUAACAUAAUAGUGAAAUGACAGGAAAACAGUGAGAAAACAACAUAUUUUUUUUUCUUUUUGUAAAUUCGGGUUGGGCUGGGAAAAAAAACCUUACUUGAGGCCCUUAUCUAAGCCCAUUUUCGGGUCUAUAUUUUUGUUCAAUCCCUCCCACUUUUUGAGAGUCCAGCUUGAUCCAUGGACAUGUCUAUUUUUACAAGGUUACACCAAAACAGACUUUUAGCGGUGCUUGGACAAAAAAUGCCGAUAAAAAUCAAGCAUUAGCGGCACUUUAUGGAAAUCGGCACUAAAGAUCUAGCAUUGGCGGUGUUUUUCAGAAAAAUGUCACAAAAAACCGAAGCCCAACGACGUUGUUUUCUUACCUUUUUGGGCUUUAGCGGCGUUUUUGAAAAAGCGCUGCUAAUGCUCGGGAUUUAGUGGCGUUUUUGAAAUGCGCCGCUAAUGCUCGAGGUUUUAGCGACGUUUUUGAAAAAGCGCAGCUAAAAAUAUUUUAUCUUAAUUGGUUUAUUUAUAUUAAUUAAAUAAAAUUCAAUUUAUUUCUAAUUGAAUAUUUAAAAUCUUCAGAAAAAAUAAUGACAAGUAGAAAUAAUUUGAAAUAAAACACAUGGAAAAAAAUUUUAAAGUUUUUUUGGGUACAUGAUUACUGAUUGUUUUUUAAUUUAUAUAUUAAAAAAUUUCUUAUAUAAUCGUAAUCGUAAAAGAGAUAGUAUUAAUUUUAAAAUAUUGAAUUAAUUAUCACUAUAGUUUAGGGUUUUUGGUUUAGGGCAUAUGAUUUAUUUAAGAUUUAAGGCCGGUUUAAGAGUUACUAUUUUAAGGUUUAGGGAGUAUGGAUUUAGGGAUUAUGGAUUAUGGUUUAAGGGUUGAGAUUUAAGAUUUAAGGGUUAGGGGUUAGGGGUUAAGAGUUAGGGAUUUAGGGGUCGGGUUAGGGUUUUGGGUUUAGAUUAAUUAUUUUUUUAAUUUAUAUUUUAAAGAUGUUCUUAUAUAAUUAUAAAAGAGAUAAUAAUAAAUUAAAUAUAUUGAAAUUAUGAGUAUAGUUUAAAUUAUUUAAGAGAUAUAUAAUAGAUAGACUUUAUAUGUAUUGAAUAAUUAAUUUAGGGUUUAAGGUUAAUGUUUACUUGAGAUUUGUUAAAUUAUAAAAUUUUAUACAAUUAAUUAAUGCUUUUAUAUUUAAAAAAGUUUAAUCUAAACCAUUUGAUAUAUUUAAAUAUUAAUUUAAAUAGAAUUAAUAAAUAAGUUAAAAAAAUAAUAGAUUGAUAUGGAUAUUUAGGUAUUAUUAUUUAUUGUAGAGAUGACCAAAUUACAAAAUAUAAAAUUAAAAUACAAAAAUAAAAUGAUUUUUAUUCAAAAUAAAAUAAUUUUUUACAACAUUUUUAUAAAAACGCCGUAAAAGAUAAAUAAUAACGACGUUUUACUCCAAAUUUUACUUUAAAAAAUCGCGCAUUUUACCCAAAUUCCCCCCUUUAAACUUCCUGUGGCGGACAAUAUUUUCUCAGUUGCCACUCUCUAACAAACACUCUGCACUCCCAUGGCUGAUGAGACACCACAGGCCACUCCACAGCCUCUCACUCCCUUCUCCGCUGUGGUGCCCACCCCUUUCAUCGCCGUAAAAAAAAAGUUAAAAACAACAGAAUGAUGGAAUAACUAAAUCCAAAUCCCAACUUUUCUAUGUUCUUAUAGAAAAUAUUUGAUUCUCCCUCCAUCUUACAAACUUUUUAGUUCCCUUCCCAUUACAAAUCAGUUUUCCAUUCCAAACCCUAACAAAUGGCACCUUUGGACCCUCACUCCUUCACUGACUCUCCCCACCCUUUAACCACCGACAUCUCCCUUUCCCCUUUAUUAGACUUCUCUUCUGCCACCAUCUACGGCGUCGCUUUCUUCAUCCUCAAAUCCCCUCAUGUAGGUCAACUUUCUUUUGAUACCCGUUCCCUUUCCAUUCACUAAGUCCUUCCUCCUAUUACCCUUUCCCCUCUCCCUUUCUCUCUUUCCUCUUCACCUGACCCUAUCAAAGGAAACCAGCUUUCCAUCUCGCUACCAGACGAUGACGUUUUGAACUCCUUCUUCAUCGUUUUCUCUACUUCCCCUUCUUCUUCUGCUCUCCAAUGGCUAUCCCCGCUGCAAACGUUUAACAAAAAAACACCCUUUUGUUUAUACCCAAUGCCAGUGUAUCCACGCGCGUUCCAUUUUCCCAUGUCAAGACACUCCCGCGGCGAGAAUUCGUUGCUCUGCUUUGCUCAAUGUAUCUCAGAAGUUAUCCGCCGUUAUGUCCGCCCGCCAUGUCGAUAGGAGGUCACCGGUUUCUGGUGAAGGACAUUCGCAUUUGCUGCCUGACGGGUUUAAUUCGUUGUGGUUCUUCUGCCUUUUUGCGCCUCUCCCUUUUUUUUUGGCUUUCUUGGUUCUCAGUUUCUCAAUUCUAUCCACAGUUGUAUGGGGAAACCAAAGCACUACCGACCGCCGGCAAGUUCUUUCGAACUUUAUUGCUUUCAAAUUGGCGAUUUAAAUUUUAAAAGUUGACUUAUUGUAAGGACUUUUUUCUCAUAAUUUAUGGUGAAAUUUUACAGGGAAAGAAAAAGGAAGGAAAUGCUGCGAGAUAUGUGACGAGGUCACAAGCUAUUAAAAUCCUUCAAGUUAGCCUUUCAGAUUUCAGGUUCAUCUCUUCUUUCUCACUUUUAUUAAUUUUUAUUAUAAUUUAAGCUUCCUUUAUUUGCCUUCUUUUGUCAUUUUUUUUCAUGUUGUUUUUAGCUUCGAAGAUUAAUUAGCUAAGAAUUUGAAACUAUUGAGCUUCGUUAAGCUGAGAUUAGUUCAUCAAGUAGCAGUUAGUUGCUACUUUUGCUCACUGAAGCAAAGAGAAGAAGUGUGUGUGGAAAAUAUUCUUAUUGCUAGCUUUUUACUUCAGCAUGAGUUUAUGACUAUGUUCAUUUUAUGUUAUAUUUUAAAGCUAUUUGUUUUUUUUAUUUGAUAUGAUUUUGCUAUUAUUAUUAUUAUCAUAAAAAAUCGAGGAUUUUAAUAAGAAAACAUAAAAAAAGCCUCAACCAAAUGAAACGCGUAUUGAUGGGGUUUGUUAUUUUUUAUUAAAUAUGGUUGGCUUCCUUUUGCUUUAAUGGAUUUAAUACUGCAGGAAACUAUGCAUCCACAAAGGAGUAUUUCCGAGAGAGCCAAAAAAGAAAGUGAAAGGAAAUCAUCAUACUUACUAUCACUUGAAGGAUGUCAUGUACAUUCUUCAUGAUCCAUUACUUGAGAAGUUUAGAGAAAUAAGGGCAUAUCAAAGGAAGAUAAAGAAAGCUAAGGCUAAAAAGAAUGAUGAGUUAGCAAAGCUUCUUAUAUCUCGUGCACCUUCUUACAGACUUGAUAUGGUCAUCCGUGAUAGGUUUGUGAAACAAUCUUUGUAUGUUUUAUUUCCUCUCGUUGCUAGUUGUAUGAAUUCUGUAAAACUUUUAUAGUAAAACUUUUGUAGUAAGCAGCAACAUAACUAAAUCACCAUAUGCUGAUAAUGAGAAGAUUUAUUGUUCCUAUUCCCUUGGCUCCAAUUUUUUUGGUUCAAAACUUGAUGUCUAAGUGCAUGCUUGAGUAUUUGGCAAUCAAUCCUGUGAAAUAGUUUCUAGUUAAGGUGGCAUAGAAGCAUAUAGUCCAGGCAUAAUCUGUUCUUAAAAUUUAUGAUUGUUUUUUGGUUUCUCCUCUCCACAAACUGUCUAAUGUAUUUGGCAGAAUGAGAUGAUGCUAUUUAUGCCUAUACAUGCAUUUCUCUCUGUGGAUGGGUAACCUAUAUCUUUGAUUUGAGGCAUAGUUUGAUGACAGCAUAACUUAUUGCUGAAGUUAUACAGCCACGUUGUUUGCAUGCUGAUGACCAGUUCUGACAUUUAAGAUUUCAGAAUUGAGAUGGAUUUCCAGCCUGGAGGAUGUAUAGAGCCUGGAGAAGGUUAUGAUAAAUACUGUGCUUAUUAUUGCACUUAUAUUAAAUAUUGUACCCUUCUUUGCGAAAUUGUUGUCUUUUGAAAUAUCUUUAAGAUUAAGGAACUAUACUAAAUGCGGUCACAAAACUUAUGGAGGGCAGUUAUACUUUUUGCUUUCAUUAAUGAAUAGCUUUCUUGUCUUUAUCUGCCCUUAUCAAAUAAGAUUUUAUUAGUUAAGGGAUGUUUUCUGGAUCAGCCUUCAAUUGAUACUGUAAACAAUUUUCUUAUGUAAUUCUAAUAUAGAAUGUAUCUUGUUUUAAUAGCUCUAAUGCAUGGCUAUAAGGAGUCAUUAGCAUUUUUAUUAAGUUGUUUGGAUUUGCAGGGGAAAAAUGAAUUGCAAGUUUAUUUCAGCUUCUCAGUAACUUACCUUGUUUGCCCUAAAAAGUUGUGGUAUUUAAUACAACAAAAGUUAGUAUUAAAUAUCCAUAUACUUUUAGCUACAGUUUUUGAAUAUGCAAAAAAUGCAUCGAUAAUAAUGAAAUAAGAUGGAUGAAUAGAUAAUAUGGAUUAUUGCUUGCAACUUCCUUUCUUUUUUUUCUUUUUUUUGGAAAUAUGCAACUUCCUUUCUUGGUUGUCUUUAGUUGGCAAUAAAGUUUGCUUUAUUUAUAUUGCAAUGUUAAUUACUCUUUUAUCUCAAACCUACUUCAUUGCUCAGAGAAUGCAUAUUCUUCUACAUCUGACAUGAUGGCCUUUUUAUCAUUACAUGUUAAGCCUUUUCUACAUCUGACAUGAUGGCACAUGUAGGGAGAUUGAAAAUGAGUAUUUAGGUCUGAGAAAUGGCAUACUGGAUCAAUCAGCCAUACUGCUUUCAAGCCAUGGUUGUCUAACUUGCAUGAACUGCAAAGUAAGUCAAACUUUUUGUAGUAAUUUCAGGAAUAACAUAUCCUUCUUUGUUUUGAAGUGUUCGAUCUAUUUUUGUUAGCUUGGCACUGCUUAUGCUUAAUUUAGUCUUCAUACAAUUGCUAUAAUUGGUUAUCAGCCAGAUUUAUGAUUGUUUUCCACUGACUCAUUUAUGAUUGUUUUCUAUUUUUAUUGAUUUAUGUAAUCAAUCUCAAUUUUGCUUUUUGCAAAUUAAUACUAUUGUUCCUUGUUAAAAAAUUGAAUAGUUUAGACAAUCAUUAGAAAGAAUGCCUAUUUAUAACACAUGGAAGUGCUAUGAUUGAGAUUGUUUGUUAGUAUGGUUCAACCUGCUACUAAAGUUGUACAUAAUUGUUUGUUAUAUAAUUUUUAUUUUUAACAUCUCUGUUGUUUACCAAGUUUGUUGGUUUAUCUGAUCAUUUGGUUUUGCAUCCUUUAGAUAUUGAAGGUGUUGUAGAGGAUUCAAUCUCUUCAAGCUAGAAAAGCCAAGGCUUAGCACUUCUUCAAGUGGUGGUCGUUUAUCUUAGUCGGAACUUAAAUUUGGUGUUAUUGAAACAGGGUUUUGUAGCUACCUUGUGUACUAGCUUCUUUAACCAUGAUUGUUAAUUAUUACGUGUUUUGUAGCUUCUUUUAUAUUUGGCCGAGUUAAUAUAGAUCAGAUGAGCUGUGAGGUAGAUUGCUCAUUUAUUUAAACAUAAUAUUUUAAUUCUAAAUUUAAAUUCAUUAAUUUUUAUAUUUAGCUUUAAAGUUCAAAUUUUAAUAGUAAUUUUAAUUUAAUAAAAUUUUUUAUCCUAUAUAGUUUAAAGUUUAAAUUUCAAAAAUAAAAUAAAAUAAAAUAUUUAUCAUAGAAAUAAAUAUUAUUUAAUUAAAAUAUAUUUUUAAAAGUCAUGUUUUUAGUGGCGUUUGUGAAAAAACGUCGUUAAAAGUUAUUCUUUAUAGUGGUAGAAGUGUCAUUAAAUGUCAUGAUUUUUAGCGGUGUUUGUGGUAGAAGUGUCACUAAAGGUCAUGAUCUUUAGCGACGUUUGUGAUAAAAGCGUCGCUAAAGAUCAUGAUCUUUAGCGGUGUCUAUGGUAGAAGAGUCACUAAAGGUCAUGAUCUUUAGCGGCAUUUUUUCACAUAAAUGCCGCUAAAAUUAGCGACGUUGUCUAUAGAGGAACUUUUUGCGGCCUUUGUUAAAGCGCCGCUAAUACUUUUAGCGGCGUUCUAAAAGCCUAAAAAAGUGCCGCUAAAGUCUAUUUUGCUGUAGUGAUUGAUAGUUAAAUUUGAUUUUUUUUAAAGAUUAAAAGACGAAAUUUAACUAAAAAGGACCAAAUUAAUAAAUGAUAUAAUGAUUGCCUAUUUUUAUUUGCUUCUUUUGGUGUUCAAGAAUAAUACAUAUUAUACAUAUACAUGGAUAGAGCAAAUCACGUGCACCAUUCAAAAAAUUGGGUUUACAUGUACUAUUAGUUAAUUAGAUGACUCACUUCAAUAAAAAAUAAAAUUAUUUGGUUCAUAAAAAAAUGUAUUUUUUUAAAACUAGAAGUUACAAUAUUAACGAAACAUUACAUUCAUUCUUUACUCAAUAAUUAAUUAAAAUAUUAAAUUAAUAAUCAAAAUAUAUCUAAAUUCGUAAUAGAAUGUUUCAUACAUAAGUUACUCAAUCACUAUAUUGCAUUGUUUAAUCGUCCAAACAAGUUUUAACUUUCGUUGUAACAACUCAAAAGAAUAAUUACAAACGAAUGUAUUUUUAGACUAAAAUGUAGAACUAAGGCUUAGUUUAGAUGAGCAGUGCAUUUACCUAUAGUUAGUGUAAAAACAACGGUGAUGGUGAGAUUAGAUACUGUAACGAUAUUGUAAUGUGAGACAAAAAUAAACUAAACGCAUCGUGUACAAGCCCAAUUUAUGCCCGAGGCCCCAAAACCAAACCUAAACCCAAAACCCUUACCCAUUAACUCGAACCAAGCCUAAUACCCCAAAUUAGGCCCAAACCCGAAACCCAACUAGUCAGACUAGGGUUUCAGAUACUGAAACCCUAGCACCACUUUUCUCACCUCAGCUCUCUGCCCUCCUGGCCGUAACCUACUUCUUUUGCUCUUCUGCCGUCGCCGCACCCUAGCCUCCAGACCUGGCGCCGUCCAUCAAUCUCCUGCAAAGAAGAAAAUCACGCAAAGAACUGUGGCAAACAGAGAAAAAGAAAAAGAAAACUAAAAUUGUAACAACCCGGUUUGACUCUAAUCGGAAUAGUGGUUUCGGGACCACACAUCCGAGUCUGAAAAAUAUUUUAGUAUUUUAUUUGGUGUUUAUUAUGUGUGAAUUUGCAUGUGUGAAAGUUUCAUGAAUUAAUAUUAUGGUUUGAGUGCUUAAUUAAAGAAAAAUGACUUAAUCGUGUAAAAAAAAUAAAAAGGCUAGUUAAUGUGUAAAGUUUUAAAUUGCUAAUGUCUUUUUAAUAUGGAGUCCUUAAUAGGUUAUUAGCCCACUAUUAAGUAAGUGGGUGGUAUUGGUCAAGAAUGACCCUGUUUUAUAAGGUAUAUAAAUUUAUAAACAAAGGUUAAAUAAGUAAACUAGUAAUAUGUUAAUAUAUGUUAAAUUAUAUCAAAAUAUAAUUCAUUAUUCUUCAUCUCCUUAUGACCGAAACUAAAGAAAACAAAAAGAGAAAAACAUAAGCUAGGUUCGGCCAAUUUACAAGCUUAAUUCAAGGUUAGUUUUGUUUUGAUUUUUAAUAAUUUUUACGUUUUUGAGAUCGUUGCUUUGUGUUCUUCAAAACCCAUGUUUUAAUUUUGUGAAUUGUUGAUGAUUUUGAAAUGUGCCAUUGAUGAAUGCUUGGACUUUUUGAUAGUUGAUGAUGAAAAAUGAAAGAUAUGUGAUAGAUUGAUAUGUUUUGUAUUGGAAUUUUUAGUGAAAUUGGGUAAAUAGGGCUAAAUUGUGAAAUUAAAUUUUUGGGGGACUAAAAUGUGAAAUAAAUGCAAUGUGUGGACUUGUAUGAGAACCAUGAAUAUUCGGCCCUUGUGUGGUAUGGGAAAAUUUUGUGUAAAUUGUGUUUUAUGCAAUAGGGAGUAAAUUGCAAAAAAGUAUAAAUAUUAGGGGCAAAAUAGUAAUUUUCCAAAUUAUGUGUUUUUGGACUAAAUUGAAUGUGUUAAUAAAUAAAUUAUCUUAUUUUUAAUAUAUUUAGAUCGAGAACCAAAGAAAUCGGAGUUAGAUCGGGGAAAAGCCAAAUUAGUCGAAUAAUCGUCCGACUUCGAUUUUCCAUCGUCCGAGGUAAGUCUAUUAGCAAUUAAAAGUUAUUAAGUUAACAUUUAUACAUGUAUACUAAUUGUAUUUUAUGUUGAGCUAUAAUUAAAAGUAUAUUGAUUGAAUAAAUUUUGAAGUAUGGAUGAUAUUUACAUAUAUAGCAUGUUCGAAUAUACAAGUAUAAUCUUGUAUAGAUUUAUGGUUUGAAAUAAAGGUAAGAAAUGUAUAAGAGUAUAGUUGAUAUUCGAAUAAGCAUGUAUAUAUAUAUAUGUAUAUAUAUAAUGCUAGAAUAUAUAUAUAUAAGUUAUUGAAAUUAGUUAAAGUAUGAAUGUUGCAUAGGUAUAAAUUCUUGAUUUUAAUUAAAGGAAUGUAUAAUAUAUAUAUAUAUGGUGCGAAUAUAUAUAUGUAGGUAUAUAUAUGUAUAAACACUUGGAUUUAUUUAAAGUUAUGUAACCCAUGAUUGUAUGAGAAGUUUUGAAUAGAUAUGUAUAUGUGAAUUGUAAUUUAUAUGUAUAUGCUAUAUUUGAAUAAGCAUGCUUACAUAUAUGUAUAUGUUCUUGUAAUGGAUUUUAAGUAUGAGUGUUAUAUAUAUAUGCAUAAAUGAAGUUCGAAUAUGUACAUAUAUAUAUAUAUAUAUAUAUAUAUAUAAAUGUACAUCUAUUGUAUAUUUGACGAGCUAAAAUUAAAAGUAUAUGUAUUGAAAAUUAGUUGAGUAUGAAUGUUAUAUAUAUGCAUAUGUGUGAGGUUCGAAUAUAUAGUUAAGUAUAUAUAUAUGUACAGGUAUAAUUUCUUGUAUUGAAAUUAGGUAUGGAAUUAUAUAUUGAUAUACAUGGUUGAAUGUAUAUGUAUAUAUAUGUUUAAGAUUUGCAUUGAAAUUAAAGUAUAAAUUUUAAAUGCUUGUAUGAUUCGAACAUGGACUACAAAUUUUCUUGGGAUAGAGUUGAGAUUGUGAAUUUUUUUUCAGACUUUAAGUCUAGCAGGCUAAUUGCCGGUGAUCUGAAUCAGGUUAUAAACCUAGCAGGCUACGUGCCGGUGAUCUGAAUCAGGUUAUAAACCUAGCAGGCUACGUGCCGGUGAUCUGAAUCAGGUUAUAAACCUAGCAGGCUACGUGCCGGUGAUCUGAAUCAGGCUAUAAGCCUAGCAGGCUAUGUGCCGUUGAAUCGGUUUAAUUAAGUGAUUGUAUACAUUGAAUAUAUAUGUAUAUGAUUUGGUUAUUUGUAUUGGAUUAAUAUAUGAACAUCUGUUGCUAUGUUUUUGAUGAGCAUAUAAAAGCUCGAAUCUUUGUGUCUGGUGAGUAUUAGAGGUGUUCAUGGGCCGGGCCCAUAGAAAAUUUUCACCCGCAUACUAGGCCCGGGCCUGACCCGGCCCGAAAUAUGAGCCUGAAAUUUUGUCUAGGCUCGGCCCGGGAAAAAAUUCUUAGGCCCAAGCCCGGCCCGACCCGUUUUUUUAAAAAUAAACACCAUUUUUAAAAAAAAAUUAAAAAAAGUAUUUUAAAAAUAUAAAAAAUAUUUUUUAUUAUAUAUUCGGGCCGGGCCCGGGCCAAAAAAGUCUUGCCGGAGGCCCGGCCCGUUUUUUAAAUGAGCCUCGUUUUUUUGCCCAAACCCAUAUUUCGGGCCUAUAUUUUUACCUGAACCCUCCCAUAUUUCGGGCGGGCCGUCGGGCCAGGCCGGGCCGCCCGGCCCAUGAACACCUCUAGUGAGUAUAUAUAUAUCUAUGCGUUUGGCAUAUGUGAACUAAAGUAUAUAUAUAUGUGCAUUCGGCACAUGUGGUUGAUAAGUAUAUUUGGAAUUUAUAUAUAUGAUUAAUGAUUAUGUAUAUAACUUGAUUUUUAAGUAUAUAAUGAUAAUACAUAUGAUCGUUUAUAUAUAUUUUGGAUAUGCUAUAAACUUACUGAGCUAUAGAAGCUUACUUUGAUUGUUUUUGUUUAUUUGUUUAUAGAUUUUGGAGACGCGUUACGAGCUCGGGGAUCAUCAGCAUAGUCCAUCACACUAUCGACUUCUUUUGGUAUUUUGUUAACAGUUUGAACUUGAUCUUAUGGCAUGUAUAGGUUUGAGUAUGAUUUUGGUUAGAUUUGGAUUGAAUAAUAUAAUUAGCCAUGUGAAUAUGGUUUAAUUUCUACUUUUGUGAUCAAUUUGGUUUUUUUUUUAAAAAUGGUUGUGUUUGUUCUGUAAUGCCUCGUAACCCUAAUUCGACGACGGAUAUGGGUUAGGGGUGUUACAAAAAUAGCAUGUAAAAUUGGCUAUAAAGCCAAGUAUCAUCUCUGUAAUAGGGGUUCCCCACCCUUUUCUUCACGAUUUCAAGAAAUAAAAAGAAAAAAAAAAGGGAUUCAAGGAUUCUUUUCUUCUUUUCGGCAUAAGAUCUAUUUUUCUUUUUUUAUUUAUUUUUAUUUUUCUCUUUAUUUUCCUUCCUUUUGAAAUUGUUUAUAUACAUACAUAUAUUUCUUUAGUUUUCUUUUUUAACUAUUUAUACACAUAUAUAUUGAAAAAAAGUUUAAAAAAGAGAGAGAAACUUACCUUCCUUUGGAUCGCCUGAAAGAGAGGGAUUUUCGACCUUCCGGCCGCCGCAUACGGCAGCGCCGGUGCCGGCACAGAUGGCCGUCGCGACGGUGAUUGGCCGAAUUUUGGCCGGACCCUGGCCGGAAAGGGAGAGAGGGGAGAGAGCUGUUGAAAGGUUUUUGGAGUUUUUUUUUUAAAAAGAAGGUUAAAAAUGAAUUUUUUGUCUGAUUUUUAGCUUAUAUAGGCCCAUUAAACGGCGUCGUUUUGGGCUUAAACAUCAAUGGCCAAAACGGCGCUGUUUUGCCUUAGACCAGCGCGCGACCCGACCCUCUCCAGGGAGGAUCAACGCGUUUUCGCAGAAUGGGUUAUUUGCAACCCUGGUCCUUUUGCGUUUAUGCUUCUUUUAAUUUACUCCCUUUUUGUUCAUUUUUGUUUUUUUUAAAUUUGGCCCCAGAAUUUUGUUUGGUUCUCGAUUAGGUCCCUGACCCACCAACGCGCUGAAAAUGGACAUGUGGCCUGGAAUUUGGGUUUAUUACCCAUUCGGCACUCCUCCCUUUCACGCUUUUCAGUUUGGUCCUUCUGUAUUUAUUUUUAUUUCUGUUUUGACCUUUAAAUUUUAUUUUUAUCCCUAAUUAGUCCAUCUUUGUUUAUUUUGUUAUAUUAUUAAUUAAUCUACUUAUUAUCUUAUUUAUAUUUUCUUUUUAUAUUUAUCUAUUCAUUAUUAUAUUAUAUUAUUAGUUUUGUAUUAUUAUUAUAAUCAUUAUCAUUAUCAUUAUUAUUAUUAUUUACUCAUUUAUACCUUUAGUUCAAAAUUAUACAUUUUUCUAAUAUAUAUGUAUAUACAUAUUUAUACAUAUUCUUUAUAUUUUAAAAUCUAUUUCUUCUUAUGUACUUUCUAUAUUUUAUAAUACAUAUAUAAAUAUAUUUUUAAUAUAUAUAUAUAUAUCAAUAUACAUUUUUAAUUUUUAUAAAUACACAUAUAUAUGCCUACAAUUACGCUUUUAUAUAUAUUACAAUUUAUAUACGUAUAUAUAUAUAUUUAUAUAUAUAUCCACAUACAUAUUUUAUACUUCAUAAUUUUAAUACACAUAUAUAACUUUAUAUUUUUAUAAAUUUUAUUCAUCUCUUUUAUUUAUUUAUUUAUUUAUUUUUCAUUAUUUUAAAAGAACAUUUUAACUUUACUUGCUUAUUAUAUUUGUUUUCGCAUGUUAUUAAUUUGUCCUUUUUUAUAUUCAUUCAUUUUUAUUGCUCCUAUUUUUAUACUAUUAUAUUCAAUAUCGCUUUGUAUGUGUAAUUAACCUCGUGUUUCAUUUCUACUAUUUCAAGUUAGAUUAAUUUAUCUCGACGCACAAGUUUCAACUUUCAAAUAAGCAAAAUUUCAUAUUUAGAUUUGAGAGGAUUGAGUCCUACCAUUAGGUUCCAAUUUUCUUCAUUGAAUCUAAAUAAUGGAGAAUGCUCUUUGAUAAAAAAAAACAUAAAUAGAAAGCUCAUUAUCGGGAAUUUAAUAUGUUGUAUCCUAAUACAUUGGAUAUGACACGUUUUCUCGAGACGAGGAUUUUUCUAAAAAAUAAUAAAGGCAAUAUUCAAUGUUUAGAAUUUUGAGAAAUUGUACCCUAACGUAUUGGGUUGCGAUUUUUUCAUCUAACUUAAACAAUUAGAUAUCCUUUUAAAUUUCAUUGCACAAGUUUUUUUGGACAAGCUCAUUUUUGAGGAAGUAAAAUAUCAUGCCCUAACUCAUUAGGUGUGACAUUUUCUCUCUUCGAAAUGAGAGGCUCUUAAUGGGUAAUUUGAUUUAUACAUUUCAAUAAAGGAUCGUACUUUAAAUCUCCGUAAAGUUUCUAAUUCUCGACACUAAGACACUAAAUAAUCAACUAGGUACCAAUUUUGGGCGUUACGAGGGUGCUAAUCCUUCCUUAUACGUAACCGACUCUUGAACCUAUUUUUUCUGAAUUUCGUGGACCAAAAUCGCUGUUUUAAUAAAAUCAAAUCGUUUAUUAAAAACAACCACUUCUCGAGGUGAUCCGAUCACACCUCAUCAAAAAGGAUUGGUGGGGACUCCCACUUUCGUUUUCAUUUUUUAAAUCCAAGUUGACCCCGUUUUAUCAAAAAAAUAGUGUUAACACACCGUACCACACUCAACCACCCAUCCAAACCUCACCUAAAAGUUGCUAGAGUUUCCUUCCUACCAUUAAACCAAUGUAUCAUCAACUAUUUGUACUUAUGUUUAAACACUUUAAUGGAGUUGCAUGAAAUGCAUGAUUGACUACGUGUAAAUUUAUACACAAAAAAAAACAAUAAUUUGAAAAGCUUUCCAUAGUACAAUUUUGAUAUAUUUGGCCUCUAAUAAGAAAUCAACAUAUGGAGUGGGUGAUUAAUCCGAAUCGGGGUGAGGACAGGUGUUGUGAUGGACAAAGCGUAAGACAAGGUGGUUCUCGACAGAAGCAAGAAAGCUCUGACAAAAGACAGCUAGGUAUUCCUUUUGCAGACAAAUUAAGAAGACAAAAGAUAGAAAAUAUAGGGUGGUGGUCGAAGAUAAAUGAUUAUAACAGCACUGAUAUGAUCUGCUUCGCCUUCGUCCACCACCUCAUCUUUAUGUUUAUAUCUUGGUCGUGACUCACGUUGGCCUUCGUCUGCAAGUGCUGUCGGUCCUACUAUUGUGCUUGUGUUUCCUAGCUUUGAUUUCUAUGUAUUAGGGUCUGGGGUGAAGUUAGAAAAAUAUUUUUAAGAAUUGAAGUUAAAUUAUAUAUUUUUAUAAGAGUUAAAAUGUAAUUUCAUAAUUAUAUUAGUUUAUGUUUUUAUAGUUUUUAGAGGUCUUAAAUUAAAAUCUUAUCAUUUUUUUUUGGAUAAAUUGUGAUUUUACAAUGUUUAACUUAUAAUUUUAUAGAUUUUAGAAAGGCCCAAAUAACAAUUUUUCAUUUUAGUGGUCUAAAAAGUAAUUUUCAUUUUAAGGAGGCCACUCCCCUUGCUCCAGUCACCGCCUUUACGACGAGAUUAAUUAUAGUGAGAUUGAAAAUAGAUGUGAUAGUGAGAUUAACUAUUAUGGUGAUGAGAAUAAAAUCACUGGUGAGACGUGUCUUAGGAUUUAAACAUAUAGAUUGUAGAUUUAUAGUAAGAGAGCAAAAUGACCAUUAUGAACAUUAAACUAAAAUUAAACUAAAUUAGUUUGCACCCUUCCGUAUCUUUUUUAUAAUUAAUAUUUUAACGAUAAAAACAUUAUAUUUCAUAUUUCAUUUAUAUAAAUUAUGCAUGUCAAAUUUGACGUAAAUUAAAAAUUUCUAACUAUUUGUUUUAUGUAAAAAUACUUUUAACUGUUUAAUAAAUGUUAAUAUAUACAAUAUUUUAGAUCGAUAAGAUAGAAAUAUCAAAUCAAUUUGAAAAUUUGCAUGCAUGAAUCAUACAAUAAUUUUGAUAAAUUCAAUGGUUGGAUUGUUAAAUUAAUAAUCAUAUAAAAAUAUAUGGAAGGAUGUAAAAUUACUUUAGUUUCACACUAGUGUAAGCGGAUCUCUCCCAUUUUAAUAUAUAAAGUUAAUUAUAUAAUUUAAAAUUAUGUAAUUAAUAUUAUUUAUAAAUAUAAGUAUAAAUAUAUUUCUUUAUAUGCCUAACUAAUGUAAAGAAAAUCCACAAAGAAGCUAUUUGUUGAGGGGAGGUCGGACUCUCUUUUGGGAGAAGUCUUCUAAGUGUCAUCUAUUUGGGAGUUGAUGGACCCCUCAAUAAGAGGUAUUUUUCUCGUGUUGGGGUUUCUUCCCUGGCCUUCACAAAGAGCAGCUAUACGAUUCUCAAAAGGGGGCUCGAUUGGUGGAGAUAGGUACAAUGGCUCUUUGCGAAGGUUGAGGGAAAAACCUUGACACGAUGACAAUACAUUUUGUUGAGGAUUCUGUUGACUCUCAAGCGGGCAAUACUUCGAAGACUUCUCCUAAGAGAAAAUCUAACCUCCCCUCAACACUAUUCACAUACACUUAUCCCAAACCAACAACCAAAUAUCACUACAACCACAAUCAAUCAUACAAAAAUGCCAAAUAAUCCCAAAUAAAAGAAGGAAGAAAGUCUCCUAUGUUAGCAUCCUCAAAUAGGACUUAUAGAAUUAAAAAAAAAAGAAUGAAAAUAUAUAAUAAAAAAAAUGAGACAUAAACGUACUGGAUUCAGUUAGGAGUUAGUCGGAGAGUUUUGGGCGUGGAGGCUCAAACAAAAGGUCGAGGAGAAAGUCUUAUUAAGAAGAUGAACAUAUUGGACUCAAGUGACCAUCCGAUGAUGGCAAACAAAGAUCAAAUAGCUUCCUUGUUAGAUUUUUAAGUUUGAAUCAACGAAGUUUCAGGCCAUUUUAAGGAAAAUUAAAUCAUAAAGUUGAAAGAGGAAGGAUAGAGCUAUACUUUUAUGUGUUUCUUUGGUAAAGGAGGAGGUUGGACAAUGGUGAGAUUGCUGGAAUACAAUAGUGAAAGAGGUUCCUAAAACUCUAAAACUUUUGAAUAGUUUAGUGACCAACUUAUAACUCUUCUGAAAUUAAGUGACCAAAGUGUAAACUUAUUAAUAUUUAAGUGACCUUGGGUGUAGUUUACCCCAUGAUGAAUAGUGAGUUAACGAUCAUGUCAGACAAACAUUAGCAACCUAAUGGUUCAAUGACUUAAAUGAUAGAUUUUGAAUAGUUAAAUGACUAAUUUAUAACUUUUUAAAUUACUAAUAGCCGAGUAAACUUGAAUGUAAUUUACCCUCUCUUGUUUGACUUAAAAAAUCAAAUACAAGAUGGACUUUUCCAUAAUAGGCCGACACCAACAAUGUGGAAAUAGCACGGUCCAUACCUAUAAUUGUUGAUAUCGAAGGAAGAAGACUUCAAUGACUAAAUGACAUGAAUAUAAUGUAGAAAAAGUUAUGGAAGAAAGAGUCCACGAACCCCCUUCUUUUUUGCCUCUAGAUUUGUAAGUUUGUGAAGAAAAACUAGUGAUAGUCUUUUUGUCCCUAUAUCUAGUAAACUACCCAUAAAAAUUAUCUCUUGAGUAGAAAGGGAUGACUUGGGAAAAAUUAAACAAAAUUUAUAAUUUUUUGGGAUAAAUUUUAAAAUUAUAUAAACAUUUAUUUAACGUGUAAUUUAAUACGUAAAUUUUAAUUUUAUGUAAUUAUAUAUACGAUCCCUUGUAAAAUGAGAAUUCAGAUGAAUUUAUGAAUUUACGUAUCAAAUUCAUUUUGGGGCUGGAAGCGCCCUUGUAAAUUUUACUUUUGCUCUUAAAAAAUGAUAAAAUUUUAAUUAAUCUUUUAAAAAUUAAAAAAAAGAUAUAAUUUAUUAAAAUGAUAAGAUUUCAUUUUAACUCUCCUAAAGAAUAUGUAAUUCAAUUAUGACUUUUUUAAACAAUAAAUUUUUGACUUCAUCCUUAUUCGAACUUCAAAAAUUACUCGAGAAAAAAAGUUUUGCUGAAUAAGGCAACAAACCAAAGGGAAACGAGAUUCACGAGGGGAUGAAGACGAAAUACAAAACCAAAGGGAUAACCAAAGGAGAAAAGUUGUAUAAAAUAUAUGUGGUAGCGGGGAAGAGAUGCCAAGGGGUUAAUUUAUAUUUUGUUAUUCAAUAUAUAUAUUUAAUUCUUUCACUAUUUAUUGCUAUACAAAUAUUAGAUUUAUUUAAAAAUUAUGCUAUUUAUUUGUCGGAUUAAUCGUAUUUCUGGCCAGAGCAUUGAACCUAUUUGAAGUGGUUUAUAUUGUCCUAAAAAAUUCCAUGUACAAACAAUAAUUAAUUUUACUUCCCCACCUAACUACUCUUGGCUGGGGUAGGUUCUGGCAGAGAAGUUAUAGACACAUUUUCAUACUUUGGGUUUGGAAUACUUUACUUAAUUUCCUUUGCUGUAUUGAGUUUUGGCAAUAUUUAUCAUGCACUUUGAGACCUAAAACUCUUGAAUAAUCUUUUUCAUUUUUCGGUUAUGUAUAGAAAGAUAGAAAUAAAAUGACCAUAAUUUUGGAUAUUCACUUCAUUUUGCUUGAUACAGGUUCUGUUUUUCUAGUAUACAAUAUCUGAGCUUAGUUCAAAUUUAAAUAAAAUAAUUUAAUAUUUUGAAUUAAACCAAACUUAAACAAACCUAUUGAUACUAAAUAUAAAUCUAACAUAAACCUAGCGGCCCAUGAGUGCUUUACAUACUAAUAAAAUCAACUAAUAUUUUAUAAAUACUAUUAAAUAUAUAUUAUCAGGUAAUAUAAAUGUUGAUCAAAUAACAAAAAAAUUCAUGUAUAUUCUUUACAUAAAGUUAGAAUCUUUUGCGCACUGUCUUAAAUCUAUUGACAUCGGUAUUAUUGUUAGUGCAGGAGAAUAUGUGUUCGAGUACACUGAGACAUAUUAUCCUCUUAUUUAAAGGUUGAGAAGAAAUUAUAAAUAAUUCUAAUUACUAUUUCAAAUUUUAUUAUAAUGGAUGAAUGGUUGUCUUAGAUCACAAGCUAAAUUUUGGGUUUUAUUUAAUAUUGGGCUAUUUGGUUUAUAAGACUCUUCGACCUCUUUUUUUUUUUUUUUUAAGAAUACAAACAAAUUGAGCUUAUUUUUUUUAUUUAUUUUUAAGUAUAUUUAUAUAAUAUUAAAUAUAUAAAUAUGUUUUAUUAUUUUGUUAUUAAAUAUUACAAAAAUUUACAAAUAAAUCAACAAAUUACAAAAAAACCCUAAGUUUUACAGAUUUUACGGUUUGAUCCUUAUGUUCUGAAAUAUUAACUGUUUAAGUGAUGAAUGAAUAUUUGUUACACGUUUUAAGCUUUUAUUUAUUAAAAUUUGCUUUAUUUCUAUGGAUUUUUAAUUAAAUUUGAGGACAAUGCAUAAUAUUAAAUUUAGCUCUUAACAUUUACAUAUUUUAUCAAUUUGGCUUUUGUUAUUUUUUUAGACAAAUUUUGGCCUUCAACCUUUUAGAAAAGAGUUAAAAUGAUGUUUUUGUUAUUAAAUGAUGUUUUUUUAGAAAAAUCCUCAAUAAUCUCUAAUUUCUAGGGAUUAUUUACCAAAAAAACUCAACAAUCCCUCCCUUAAACUGAAAGUACAAUGAACUUUCAGUUUAAUAAAUACUUACUACUCAAUGUCAAAGACCAAGUAUUUUCCUGAACUUGACAAAUGAUGCCAACUUGAGAGGCUUAGUAAAUACAUCAACAACUUAAUUUUCACUUCUGUAAUACUUUAGCUUAAUUGCUCUUUCAUUGCUGAAAUAUGACAGAAAGUAAUAUUUUACAUCAAUAUUCUUGCUUCUUCCAUGCAACACAAGAUUUUUUGACAACUUGAUGGCUGAGUUGUUAUCACAAAAAAAUAUAGCGGCUCUUUUUGGCUUGAAUUGUAGUUGUUCAAGGAUUCUCCUAAGCCAAAUAGCUUGACAAGCACAAGCUGUAGUGUCAAAAAAUAUGACAAUGGAUUGUUUCUUAGAUGAUCACGAAAUAGCUCCUGUUUUAAGCAUAAAAACAUAACCUAAAAUGCUCAUUCUAUCAUCUUGAUCUCUUGCAUAAUCACUACCAGUGAAGCCAAUCAUGUUUGUCACCCUUUUUGUAGAAAAUCCAAAAUCUUUGGUUCUUUAUAAGUAACGAAGGAUUCUCUUAGCAGCUAAUAAAUGUUUUUCAAUCGGGCUCUUCAUGUACCUGCUAAUAAGACUCAUAGAAUACUAAUAGAGUUAGAUACAUCAAACUACCUACAAUUUUCUUGUAAACUAUGCUAUCCACAUUCUUUAAUAAGUUUUAAACCAAACUCAGUUGGAGUGUUGGAAGAGUUACAAUUCUUCAUCUUGAAUUUGUCCAAAAUCUCUCUCACAUAAUUUUUCUCUUCCUUCAAGUAUUCAUGUAAGAAUGUCGACUUGAUAUCUAACUGGAAGAUUGACCAAGAGUUCUGCGCUACUAAAGCAAUCACCAAUCUGAUAGUGUUAUGUCUUGCAACUAGGGUAAAAAAUUUUGUGUAGUCUACACCAUACUCUUGUUUGUACCCCUUAGCCGCUAAUUGCGUAUUGCACUUCUCAACCUCUUUGUUUUCCUUCAACUUCGUCUUGUAGAUCCACUUGACACCAAUGGUUUUGUGCCCCUCAAGAAGAUCAGUCAUCUCCUAAGUAUCAUUCCUUUUAAUGGCUUUGAUUUUAGCAUCCAUUGCCUCUUUCCAUUUUGCCUCAUUGGCAACAUUUUCAAAACUUGUUGGGCCACAAUCUGUAAAUAAUGCAAAUUGAGCAAUUGCAUCAUCAUUUUCUCUAAUUUUGGUUACGUCAUAAUCUUACAUCCAUGCUGGCCUUCUUCGAACAUGACGAAGUGCUUCAGCUAUUGUACUAGUUUCUUCUUUAUGUGUAAACAAUACUUUAGUGGCUAAUAGAGAAGUAUUCUUGAGCAUUUCUUCAGCUUUAUUAUCAUAAAGAACUGUAUAGGUUGUGCUUCAUCCCAAUCCCAAGUUUUCUCUUCAUGAAACAUAACUCUCGGCUAAUCAUGACCUUCUUUCUCACAGGAUUAAACAAUUUGUAUGCCUUCAAUUUGAUGUUUCACUAAUACCAAAAAAGACACAUCAACAAGCUUCUUCCAUUUCUCCUUUGAGACAUGUGCUUAGGUAAUGCGCCUAAAAAUUCUGAAGUGAUCUAUCACCGGUCUCCUUCCACUUUAAGCCUUCUCCGGAGUCACAUCUUGAAGAGAAUUAGUAGGGCUCCUAUUCAAGAUGUGGAUGUUCCAAUUUAUAGCUUUUGACCAAAACACCUUUGGAAUUCUCCCUCUUACUAGUAGGCUUCGAACCAUGUUGAGAAUGGUUUAAUUUUUCCUCUCUGAUACAUUAUUUUUUUGUUGUGUAUAAGUAGUUGUGAGCUCUCUUUGGAUGCUGUGAACAUCACAAGUCUUCAAACGCCUUAGAGGAAUAUUCACCACCAGGACUAGUUCGAAGAGGUUGAAUGGUUCUUCCUUUCUCAUUUCCUACACUAGCUUUAAAGCUUUUAAAUUUGAUUUUUCUUGUAAAGGUAAACCCAUGUCUUACAAGUAUAAUAAUCAAUAAAGGUAAUAAAUUUCCAUUAUAAAUUGGAUUUAUUGGCCCACAAAUGUCUGAAUGCACCAACUCCAAUACCUCUUUUACUUUCCAUAACUUACUUUUAGGAAAUUGAGAUCGAUGUGGUUUGCUAGCAACAAAUUCUUCACAAACUAGCAAAGGAAAGAUAAUUGGAGGAAGACCAGUCACCAUAUUUUUAUUUUUAAGUAUCUUCAAACCACCAAAGUUUAAAUGACCAUAGCAAAAAUACCACAACCAAGAAGGAUAUUUAACUUCUACUAUUGUUGACACCAAUUUUUUAGAUGAAAACGGGGUCAACUUGGGUUUUGACGAAAACGAAAAAAACGGGAGUCACCACCAAUCCUUUUUGAUAAGGUGUGAUUGGAUCACCUUGAAAAGUGGUUGUUUUUAAUAAACGAUUUAAUUUUAUGAAAACAACGAGUUUGGUCCGCAAAAUUCAGAAGAAAAAAAUUCGGGUUCGGGAGUCGGUUACGUACGAGGAAGGAUUAGCACCCUCAUAACGCCCAAAAUUGGUACCUAGUUGAUUAGCUAAUGUCUUAAUGUCGAAAAUUGAAAACUUUGAAGAAUUUUAAAAAACGAUCCUUGUAUGUUGAGAUUUUUUGGGAAAAAAGGGCAUAUUUCACGUUGAUCGAGAAAAAGAAUCAUAUCUAGUGAGUUAGGACACAAUGUCUCGAAUUCCCGAUACGCGAAUAAAAAUGCUUAUUUAAAAGACAUUUUAGCUAUCUCGAAUUUAAAAGGGAGAUCACGACCAGUAAGUUAGGACGUGAUUUUUAAAACUUGAGUUUGAAAAGAUUCAUGUAAUAAAGUUUAAAAGGAUAUUCAAACGUUUAAAUCAAAAGAAGAAAUCACGACCCAAUACGUUAGGGCACAAUUUCUCAAAAUAUUAAACAUUAAAUAUUGCGUUUAUUGCGAAAAAUCCUCGUCUCGAGAAAAUAACGUGUCACGUCCAAUGCGUUAAGACACAAUGUAUUGAAUUCUCGAUAAUGAGCUUUUUAGUUAUAUUUUUUUUAUAAAAAGAGUAAUCUCGAUUAUUUAGAUUCAACAAAUAAAAUCGGAACCCAAUACGUUAGGGCUUGAUUCUCUCGAAGAUUCCAAAUACCGAGUGGUACUUAUAUUUUUAAAAUUUUCGCUUUUUACGUAUUCGAGUAAAAAUUAUAUAUGAUAGAAUAACUAUUAUGAUAUGCAAGUAAAAAUAAUACGAGCAGUAGCAAAUAAAAGAUAAAUAAAAGACAAACUAAUUAUACAAGGUAAUAAGCAGAUAAGCUUUUCAAAUAAAAUGAGCAUAAGAUAGAAAGCAAAUGUCGCACGAAACAAUGAAAUUAUAGAAGAAAUAAAAAGGAAUGUAUAUAAAAAAUGUAUAUGUAUGUAUUUGAAAUUAUACAAAAUGUGUAAGUGUAUAUACAUAUGUGUAUAAAAUUACGGAAAUAUGAAAAGUAUAUACAUGUAUACAUAUUUUAAAAUUAUUAUACAUGAAAAUAUAUGUAAGUAUGUAUUAAAAUAUGUAUAUAUGUAGGUAUAUAAAAAUUAUGAAGUAUAUAAAAAGAUAAAAGUAUGUAUAUAUAUACACAUUUAAAAAAAACUUAAAAAUAUGUACAUGUGUGUAUUUUUAAAAAAGAGUAUUGAUGUGUAUAUAUAAAAUAUAUAAAAAAAACAUAUGUAUGAAUAUAUACAUAAUUGUGAAUAUAAAAAGGGUACACGGUUAUAUACAUAUAGAUAUAGACAUGCGUAUGGAUAUUAAAAUAUAUAUAUAUGAGUAUAUGAGUAUAGAUAGAUUAUGAAAAUCUGCCCAUGCAAGUAUAUAUACAUAUAUAUAUAUUAUAAGAGCGCAUGUAUGUAUGUAUAUUUAUAUAUAAAAAAUGUAUGUAUAGACAAAUUAUAAAGUACAUAAAAAAAAAUAUAUAUAACAAAAUCUAAAAAUGGUAUAAAUGGAUAAAUAAAAUGCACUAAUAAUAAUAAUAAUAAUAAUAAUAAUAAUAAUAAUAUGAUGCAAUAAUAUAACAAUGAAUAGAUAAGUAUGUAAAUAAAAUACAAAAAUAACACAAAUAGACUAAUUAGGAAUAAAAAUAAAAUUAAAGGGUCGAAAUUGUAAUAAAAUAAAUACGGAGGGAUGAAAAUGGAAAAUAGCAUGAAAGGGCAGGGGCCAAAUGAGUGAAUAUACCAGACCUUGGACACGUGUCCACUUUUUAGGGCGCUGAGGGGUCAGGGAUCCGAUUGAAAUCCAAACAAAGUUGCAGGGCCGAAUUAAAAAGUGAAAAUAAACAAAGUUGCAGGGCCAGGAUUGCAAAUAACCUAUUCCAUGAAAACGCGCGGGUCAUGGGGCUAAACGGCGCCGCUUUGUGCAGGCUAUAAAAGCCAAAAAUUUGUCAAAACUUCUCAAUUUUCCUUUUUUCCCCAAAAAAACAAAAAAAGGCUCUCAAACCCCCCAUUUUCUGGUCUCGGGUUUGGCCAAGGGCCACCGUAUCGGCCGUCGGAUCGCCGGCGUCGGCGACGCCGUACACAGUGGCCGGCGAGUAUAGAAAGGCUUGCCCCUAUAGAUCCCGACCUUCUAAACUCGGAUCUGGCCUCAAAAUAACCAAAAACGAUGGGGAAAAGGUCGUUAGGCUUCCCUACAGUCGGUUUCGUCACCGGAGGAGUCUCCGACGAGGAGGAAACCAGUGACCCGCGGUGAGUUUCUCCUUUUUAUUUAUUUUUUAUUUUCGUUUUUAGAAAUCAAAAUAGAAAAUAAAAUAACCAAAAAAAAGAUUGUAAUCGAAAAAACUAGGAAAUCACCUUGAAGCUUGAUUUUUUUUAUUAUUCUGUUGAUAUUUGCUUUUUUGUUACAAAAAUCGGGAAAAUAAAAAAGAAAAAGCCCCCUCAAAGUUACAUGUUCUUCGGCUUUUAAAGUCAAUUUUUGUUACUGUUCCUGUCUUGUUUGUUUCUCUUCUUUGCAAGUGACGGUGCAAGUGGCCGAUGGUGGCAAGCGGUGGCAGUGUCAGAGGGCAGGUAGCUACGGCGCUAGGGUUUCAGAAAAGCUGAAACCCUAGUUUGACUUUGGGUUUGCUGGGCUAGGACAUUGGGCCUGUAAUUGGCUGUUGGGGUUUGGGUCAUUAGGUCAGUGAGCUGGUGGGCAAAAUUGGGCUGGUACAACUAUUAAACAAGAUUGAACAACCUCAAUCUUCAAUGGAAACAACCUAUUCUGACUUAUUUCCAUAAUAGCAACAACUGUUCUAGAUGGAUUAGAAAUCUCACAAGCACCAUUCGUGAAAGUGACAACAUACCCUUUUUCCAACAGUGGCAUCAAAGCCAAGUUUAUUCUUGUUAGCUUAGAAAACUUUUCACCUAUGGCCUCGAAAAGUAGUUUUGUUCAAGUAGUUAUUCCUUAUUUUGAUGAUCAUUAUGACCAUUGGAGUACGCUAAUGGAGAAUUUCCUAUGGUCAAAAAAGUAUUGGCCAAUGGUUGAGGCAGGUAUCGAAGAGCCUGCAGAAGGAGAAACUUUGACUAAUGCCUGGAAAGUAAAGUUCGAAGCGAGAAUGCUGAAAGAUUUGAAGGUGAAAAAUCAUCUCUUUCAAGCUAUUGAUUGUCCCAUCUUGAAAACUGUUCUUUGCAAAAAAACUUUCAAGGAUAUAUGAGAUUCCAUGAAGAAAAAGUAUCGAGGCACUGCCAGAGUGAAGUAAUAACAUCUUCAAGCCUUGAGGAGGGACUUCGAGACUCUAUAGAUAAAUGAAUGGGAAUCUAUCACUAGAAAUUGUGUUAGAACCAUGGAGAUUUGUAAUAGGAUGUAGUUCUAUGAUGAGAAGAUGGAGGGUGCCACCAUAGUGGAGAAGAUUUUGCGCUCCAUGAUGCUGAAGUUUGACAUGUCGUUUGCAUCAUUGAAGAGUCAAAAUACAUGAUGAAUUGUCUCUUGAUGAGUUGUAAAACUCUUUAUUUGUACAUGAGCAAAAGAUGAAUUUUACUUCAGCCUUCAAGGAACAAACUUUGAAGGCUUUUACUUUUUUUUUCAAUUUUAGAGGAAUAGGUAAAGGUAGAGGUAUAUAUUGGGAAAUGUGCCCAUAUUUUAGUAAACAUGUAACUACUUUUUAUUUAUUUAAACAGUGAAUUAAUAAAUAAAAUUAAUUUCACAUUUCGCUAUUAUGUCUUUUGUAUUUUCGGUCUUUUAUAUUUACAAUACAUAGCAAAAUUGUGACAAGCAAAUAUUAGCUCAUUGAUUGUCUAAAGUUCAAACUGAAGAUAAGUGACAUUGUAAAGAAUAUUUACAUUGUGAGAAAGACUACUUAUUUUAGUAGAUAAUCUAAAUUAGUUCGUAAUCUCGUAAAAGAAUCAAAGUGAGCAUUUGAUUCACAUACUGAGAAGGAUUAUUAUGUCUUCUACAAUUCCAAUUGGGGAGAUUGCUAGUCUUGGCUAUUGGAGCAGUUGACUCCAUUAGUAGAGAAAUAGAUGUAUUCAUUGGUAGAAUGAUACAUUGGACUGGACCCAAAAUGAAUUAAUUUUGAAUCUAUUUGUGAAUUAAUUCACUUGUGACGUUCGUGGUGUGGUUUACCCAAAUCUUAAGUUAGUCACUGACCAUGCGUAUCGAACCCAUGUGCUUUGAUACAAGUGGAGGCUUAUGCUCUAAGGAUGAUCGAGCCCACAGUCGGUAUGUUGGGUACAUAACUUGUGUAUGACAUGACUUUACUAGCAACAAUGUAAUUCAUAGCUCAAUUAAAGAGUUAAUGAUAUCCUCUCAUUGGUAUUGUAUGGAUUGAUAAAUAUAAAACGUGGCCACGGGGUGCUUAUUCUCGAAAGAGUAAUUUAUUACAGUCAUUUGUUGACAGUGGUCGUAUUAAUCAUUAAGAAGACACAAUGGUGAUAAUGAGAUAAAAUAAGAUUGUAUUAAGUGAACGACUUUAACUCAAAGGAAUCAAUGAUAUCAUAUGAGGGUAACACACAUCAUGAGGUCAUUGGACAAAGCAGUUGGAUGAAUUGCUUUCUUAAAGAGUAUACAAUAAGGAGUUUUCAAUUAUGGCACUUCUUAUGGACUGACUCUUGAUUAAGUAAUUGCGAAUUAUCGUAACGAUGCUUUUGGACAUAAUUACAAUCACUAGAGCCUAAUUGUAUAUGUUCAAUUGGUCCAUCCGUUAGCUCAACAAAAGCUUGAUCAUUCUGCAUUUGAAUCAGAAGAAAAUUCUACGACUUUAGAAAUGAUUUAAUUGAGUCAAUUUAUUCGAUAUGGAAUUAAAUUAGGUGGUCGUGAGAAUUGUUCAACUAGAGAAUUUGAUUAAAAAUUUUUCUUAAAAAAUUAAUUUGGAAAAUCUAAGUGAUUUUUGGGAAAAUUAAUUUUGAUCAAGUAAAAUUAAAUUAAUCAAAUCAAUUAAAAUUAAUAUGAUAUUUUUGGAAAUUAAUUUUCAAGUAAGACAAUUGGCCCAAUAGGUAAUUGAACUUAAAAAUUGGACCUGAGAUCGUGAGCGUGAGAGCCCAAAACCAAGACCAAGACCAUGACCCAAAAACUUGUCGAACUGGGCCCGGUAUGUGAAACCGGGCCGACGGUCCAAUUGGUGACUAGAUUGAAUUGGUCGGGUUGACAUUGACCCGGACCAAACCAGCUUAGGGUGCCGUAAGGGUGUCCCACCUACGUCACCGGACAUGUCGGUGUGGGUGGCUGCAACGGCGGCGUCCUGGUGACUGGCGGCAGUUGGUCAUCGAUGAUUGAGUUGUGGAAGGGUUACUCUCCUAUUGGGACUCUACCAGAGAAUUUGAUUUCAAAUUAACUACUUCAAAAAUAAUAUUAUUUUAAUAGUUUAACAUUAAAUUCAAUUUAAUGUUUAUCUUGUAGAUAAAUAUUUUAUUAUUUUAAUAAGAUUUAAUAUUAAAUUUAAUCUAAUAUUUAUCUUGAUAAAUAUUAGAUUAUAUUAAUUGAAUAUUAAAGUGAUUUAGUUUAAUCAUAGUUGAACUCUCUAAACUCUCCUUAUAUAAAGAGAGCAUUGAGUCAUUAUUUACACACACUUGAGUUCAAGAGAAAGUUGUAGAGAGAAAAUUUUCUGAAGAGAUUAUUCUAAAAAAUUUCUAGAGAUAUUUUUUUGAUUUAUAACUUGACCCAAAAGUUUAGAGAGAUUGCAAAAUUACCCCACUGGUAAUUUUUAUGAAAAAUUUUCUAAUUCGAAGUGAGCUCACAUUUGGCAGACAUGAGCUUGAGGAUUGUGGAGAAGGCUACUCGGUCGAAGCGCUAAUCCUAGACGAAUCAAAAAGAUAUAAUUUGGAUUAAGUGUUUAUUAUUUUAGAUAUCACAACCUAAAUUUAUUUUCCUCUGUAUUUUCUAAAUCUUUUUUCCAACAAUAUAGGGAGAAGUUUGAGCUAAUAGAAAAAGUGGCAACAGAAAUGGUAGCAAGAAUUACAAAAUCAAUGAUGACCAAAGUAAGGAUAAAUGACGAGAUUUUGAUAAAUCUAAAAUAAAAUGCUUCAUAAGGUAAAAAUUUGGUCAUUGUCAUUUUGAAUGUUAUUUUAGGCUACUAAAUGAUAAGGAUGAACAAGCGACAUUCACUGGACCAGGAGCGCCCCCUCUAGUAAAAGCUUCCACUGCCGGUUAACCAAUCACAUUGAAAAGGAAGCUGAGACAAAUGUAUAAUAUGUGGAUAUAGGUUGUAGUAUUUUUUUCGUAUUUAAAUGAUAAUUUUCGUUGUAGAAUCACCUCUGGUGAUUAUUGUACUGUCGAUUUCAUAAUUAAAAUUUUACAUGAAAUUUAAUGUUUUCUAAAAACCUUUGUUUUUGAAGACUUUUGUUACUAUACCCCGCUCCAUAUAAGAUCCAUCACCGUCAAAUGACAAAAAGUAAUUCAAUGCACUUUAAUUGUGCCAGCGGCUCCAAGCCCAUUGAUUUCACUAUAAAUUCCAUGCUUUUAGGUUAACCAUCUUCACACAAUCAAAUCAAGCUAGUUCGCAAUGGCUUCCACUACCAAUUCCCCAUCAACCCUCCUCACCCUUCCUAAUUUCUCCAUUCAAACUUCAACAUUCCUUCCCAAAACAUCUCAAGGUUCCAUAUUUAAGAAGAAAAAGCCUUUCAACUUUAACUCCAAAAGAGUAGUGUCAUGCAAAGCCAGCAAUGGGAAACAAAACGAUGCAAAUCACACUUCUUUUCUCAAUAGGUUCGAUAGAAGGGACAUCUUCCUUGGCCUUGGAGGAAGUCUCUACGGUGCAACCAGCCUUGUUAGAGACCCAUUUGCAUUGGCAGUCGUCCCAAUCGAGCCUGACCUGUCCAGCUGUGGGGAAUCAACCGUAGAUGCCGGUACAACCUGCAUGAAUGUCCCUUGCUGCCCACCAAAGUUAAAAGAUUCAAAGAUCAUAGACUUCGAACCACCUUUAGGUUGCAAGAUCCAUUAUCGGCCGGCAGCACAUUUAGUUGAUCGUGAUUACCUGUAUAAAUUUGAAUCGGCAAUGGAGAGAAUGAAAGCUCUCCCUGUGGAUGAUCCACGUAAUUUCAUGCAACAAGCCAAUAUUCAUUGUGCCUAUUGCAAUGGGGCUUAUAGUCAAGUGGGGUUCCCCGAUCAAAAACUUG
rnacentral:lncRNA from 1 species